AUAGUCAAUGUACGUAGAUGAUGGUUGGUGAUCUGCAUUGAUAUAUAAUUCCUGUGGUUAGUGUACCGAUUAGCUUUGUGUUCAGUGACGCCGUGUUCAACAAUACGAAAUCAAUAUCAGAAUGAACUAGAAGAAUCUAGCUAACCUAUGUUCUUAACUUUAAUUAGCAAAAAAGAAAUUAAUAUCCCUCUGAUCUCUAUGCAAUUAAUCAAUGGCGUGUUUGGAAUCAUCUAUUUGUUUGUUGAUUAAAGAAUAUAUUCAACACGUCAUUUGGAAAUUUAUGUAUCAAAAUGCAGUAAUAACUUGUACCUUUAAUUAAAACGUGUUUGUUUGUUUUUUCUUAUCCACAAAACCAAUUUCCCCAUUUUUUUUUCUUUUUUUAAAAGUUGUUUAAAAGACAAAGCAGUAGGCAGGUAGAAAAGCAAAAGGUGGAACCGAACAAUUAUUUAGAUGUGAAUAGACAAUGAUGAAGUCCAAGUCAGAGAAAGGAAAACGGUAAUAAUAAAUACUAAUAUUGUACAGUGAAAAGACGAAAGCACAUGGACACAAACAGUAAGUGAAGCAUCGAACCAAAACAUUGCAAAUUAAGAGAACCACAAUCCAUCGUCCAUGUGAAGUAGGAGAAGAGAAUCACAGUGAGUGAGAAAAUGCCAAAAAGAAAAAAAGAGGUCAGGGAGAAAGGCGGAUAAUGUCUGCACAGGCAAUUAUGCAGCGAGCUGGAUAGAGAGAUUAAAAAAAUUUUAAAACAAAGGAGAAAAGAAAAAGGAUUUGGCCAUUGAGGUUAAUGAAAGCGACAGAUGAGAUUGAUACUCGAUAGUGUGUGUGGCCGAGAAAUUUCGAAGGAUGGCUACUGAACGCCGGGCGUGCCUCCCGACACUGUGCGUUUUGCUUGCUCAAUGCUCGUUGGUGUUCUGUAAACUUGGACUCUUCCUUUGUUUGUUCGCAUCUACUCAUUCAUUCUGCACGUCACGUACUGCCGCGCAGAUGGACUCCAAAUGUGUAUAUAUCAUAUGUAUAUUUGGUUCUGCUUAAUCUUAUCGAUCCAAUUUAAUAAACCUAAUCAUUCUCUUCGGCUUUAAAGUUAAUUUCGUUAGAUUUUGUUUAUGCUUCUCCUCAUAUUUUAUAUGAAAUCAAAAAUUGGCUUGAUUUUGGAGCAUUCAAAUAAUAAUAUGAUAAUUUCGGAUAACCUGAUGAAAUAAUAAUCUUAGGAAUACUUUGUAAAUCAUUGUUUAAUUCAAUUUACUUUUAUUUUUGUUAAGGAAAUUAAAAAUUUUGAUCAAUCCACUUCUAUUUUUUUGAUUAGUUGAAGUUUACAAUAAUUUUGAUGAUAUUUUAAAAAUUAUCAUUUCAUGAAACGAAUAAUUCAAAAUACACCUAAUAAUUUAUAUAUAUACCCAAUAUUCUUAGUUGAAGGAUGAGCGGAUUACCGUUGAAUGUUGAUCACAAGCACUAUAGGGGUUAGAAAUGCAUCAAACGGCAGGGAAUAGCUAAAAAGAAGAAGGAAUGAGAUGGGAUGGGAGAAUUGAAAGAUGUUGAGUUCAAGAGAAAGAAAGAAAGAAAGAGUUUGGUUAAUUAUCUGGCAUUGUUGGAUUUGCUAGAGGUUGGACCUUUGGUGAAAGGCCAAAGGGAACCGUGGAGCGAUAAAUCCGGCAAGAGAUUGAGAUGGGGAUGUACGGAGGAGGAAUCUGAUGCGGACAUGACGCGUCCGAAAUCAGAGGGAAGACCCAAUAAUUGCACCCCACGCUGCCCCGACACAAUGAUUCUGUCGGUACUGACCCCACUCAUCAAUUCCUUCUCUAAUCUAAUCUUUAUCCUCUUCCUUCACGCCUAUUGAAAUAAGGCUAAUAAAAAGUCUCUCCCAUUUUCUGCCGCUUCCUUCUUUCAAUUUUGAUCACUGACAAUUUUUCAUUUUCCCUUCUUACUGUUAUAGGGGCGAAAAUGAAGUUGCAUAAUAUUAUAAUUUAUAAUAACUUAAAAAUUUUAUUAAUCAAGAUUAAGUGCAAUUUAAUUAUUAAUAUUUUUAAAUUAUACAGCUUAAUUACAAUAUUAUGGUAAAGUAUCAACUUAUUACUUGUACGAAAUUUUUUUUUAGUAUUUUCUUUGUACACCAUCUUAAGUCCCAGAAUCCACCAAUGAGCCUUUGGUCCAGUGGGAGAGUCCUUACACUUAGAAUAAUGAGUGCAAGGGUUUGAGCUUCCAUAAAAGUAUUUAUGAGACUUAUUUGUAAUCCUUCCUCAAUUAUCACAUAAUUGAAUGGAGUCAGUCUAUUCCUCACGAAAUGUGAGUAGAGUGGACAGCCCUCGAAUAUUUGGGAGGGUUUGAAGAAUUUGGGCAGCUCUUCAGAGGAGUACAUGCCACGAUGAAGGUCCCAAUUGUAGAAUUUAUGUGUAAAUAUUAAUUGUAAUAGCUACAAUCCUGUAUAAACAGUAUUAAAAAAAAAAAAAAAGCCCCAUAAUCCAAACGAGCAAGACACAGCAAAAGUAAGUUGGCUAGGAAGGAUUUUUAAAUCCGUAACUACUCACUAGAAAGUACCGGCUUCAUUCUUUAAAGUCAUGGAUGUGUUUUGGAUCACCUCGAUUAGCACAUAAUUGAUAAUUUGGGAUGGCCAUUCGUCCGCAAAUCGAAGCCAACCCAACCAAAUCAUUUUCGUUUAUCCACUAGAGGUCAAAUUAUUUGAAUAAUUAAAGAGACGUAGAUACUUUGCAUGUCCAGAAUAAUUAAUAAUGGAAUAAGACAGGGGUGUGACAAUCAUUUCAAUUAUUUUCCUCGGGUACUAGAACUGUAGAACUCUAAUCCAAGUAGCCAACCAACUGGCUUGGAUUUUUCCCCGUAGCCGAAUGAAAUAAAAAAUCUUGUUUGCUACCCAUAUACUCCUAUAAGCAUAGUUGAGCCACCUAUUGCAUGAAUACAUAGAGUUACGAACACAAGUCUUUAAGCCACAUGUUUUAAUGAUAAAAAAAUAAAUUUCAGACAAAUUAUAAAAUUCAAAUAUUUUAUUGAGUCCGAUAAAACAAACAUAAAAAUGAAUAAUUUGUAUCAACUACAUGUUAGUAAUUUUAUUGUUUAAAAGAAAAAAAAUCCUACAAGUUAAUAGUAGCUAGACACACCACGGUAAUUUUAGUAAGUUAUUUUUGGAAUUUUUGACUGGAUAAGCUAAAUCAGUUUGAGGUUAGGCAAUUAUCAUGGUUAUGACAUAUGGAAAAAUACAAGUUGCGGUGUUUCGUUGGUAAUUUUUUUAGAAGAAAUGAAUUAGUUCGUGUCAUUGCUACCACUGAAUGAUGAUUAUUUUGAAUAAUAAUAAUAACAAUACAACCAUAAAAUGAAUGUGGCUAAUCAGAUAAAUGCGGGGAAUGAAAAUAUAAAUUGAUAGUAGAAAAGAAAUCAUUUUUCUGUUUACAAAUUAGUGAUGAUGACAUCUUAAUUCAUUGUCGAAAAAAAAAUCUUAUACAAAUGUAAACUUAAAAUUACACUAAAUAAUCUCUGUGUUAUUGAAAGUAUGACUAAUUUGAUUACAACUUAUGUAAGAAAUAUGUCAAUCAUCAAGAUUCAAAUGUUGAAUUAUCUAAAAAGUGCAAUUUAAUUGUAAUCAAAAUAAAACAUAUAAUUAAUCUAUAAACAAGAAUUAGCAUCCAUGCAACAUCUUUUCUUUCCCUCCUUUUUUUUUUAAUAUACAUAAGGGUACAUAAUUAAUUUAUAAGGAGGCAAUUUACAUCAAUCAGGUAAGGGCCCCAUAUUUGACCACUUCUGCUCCCUCCAAUUGUUGCAAAACUAAGCCUAUAAAAAUAAUAACAAGCCGCACACCUAGCUAGCUGAUUAGAGCCGACUCAAACAGUGAAAUUAAACAGAAGCAGAGGCAUAUAUAGCGUAGUUAGCCCGCCUAGGCCUAGCCGGCUGAAUUGUCGUGCCUAGUGCCUAACAGAACACACUGUAAAAAGCCUGCUCAUAUAAGCCCCCAGGCGCAGCAGCACAUGUUUCAGAUUCUCUCAUUCAUUCUCUCUCUGUCUCUCUCUCUCUCUCUCAAGUCCAAUCUCCUCUAUAUCUUUUCCAUAAAUUCAUUCACUUGUUUACUUCAUUCCUUCCAACAUCUCCUCCACAUAACACCAAAAGCAAAAGCCAUUCCAAAGUUCCUCUUGUUUGACACUUACCAAAAAUAUCAGCAAAAGAUGCCGACAGACUCCAAUGAAAAUAACAACAACAACAACAACAACAACAACAGCAGCAGCAGCAGCAGCAACAAGAGGGUCACCGCGAAGAACCCUGCAGCUGAACAGGAGCAGCUUCCUUGCCCACGUUGUGAAUCCACCAACACCAAGUUCUGUUACUACAACAACUACAACUUCUCUCAGCCCCGCCACUUCUGCAAGUCCUGCCGCCGUUACUGGACCCACGGUGGCACUCUCAGGGACAUCCCCAUUGGCGGUGGCACCCGCAAGAACGCGAAACGCUGUCGUACCAUUCCAUCCAGUACUUGUGCUGCCACCAACACCAUGUCGAUCACUCCUGGUGUUGCUGUUGGCUCUGCUCAUCAAGACUACCCUUUGCAUGCGACUCCUGUUUUGGUGCCAUUUCAGGGUGGCUCUGCGCCGUUGAAGGCCGCUAAUAUGAACGGCGGUUAUGGGGUGUGCGGGAAUGGGACUGGGGCUGGGGGUUUUGCGUCUUUGUUGAGUCCUCAGGGACCGGGUUUCUUGGCUUUGGGCGGGUUUGGGCUUGGGCUCGGCUCUGGGUUUGUUGGUGAUGUGGGUCUUGCUGGGCUCGGGAGAGGGGCUUGGGGUUUGGCUGGGGUCUCUGACGCUGGUGCUGCAGCAGCUAAUGGUGGCGGUGGCGGUGGUUCUUCUGGAAUUGGUAACACGUGGCAGUUUGAGAGUGGAGAAGCAACUACUACUUCUGGGUUUGGCACUGCAGAUUGCUUUUCUUGGCCUGAUCUGGCUAUUUCUACUCCUGGAAAUGGUCUCAAGUGAUCUGUUGUUUCAUCCUGACUAUUUCUUUGUCUUGUCCCUUUUUUUUUUUUUCUUUUUAAAAUGGUUUCUUAAUUAAUUAGUGUGGAGAUUAAACUAGUGGUGAUAUUGUUAGAGGAAAGAUAGCUAUAUGACUCUUUUAUUUAUUUAUUUAUUUUUUUCCCCUUUUUGAAAUUUCAAAUUUUAGGAUGUGCAUGCAUCAUGCCAUGUGGUUUGGUUGUUUAUGUACCUAUUUUGUGCAGUAGACUUGGCAGGGACUCACGGGUGUGUACUCUGUUUUUGGUGCAACAUGCAUGCGUACCAAACCACUUUGUAUUUUUCACUUGCUUCAGCACAUAAUACUCCCUAUCCUAUCCUAAAUGCUAAGCUGAAACUCAUCGCGUACAUGGAACAUGGCAGAAAAUUUUGCAUCUCCAUCAAUUGGAAUCUGUAUAAAAUCCGCUGGGGGAUUGAUUGGGCUUAAUUUAGAGGAAAUAGUUGCAUUAUCGUCCAUUCUGCAGAAAUGGCAAAAUAGUUGUUAAAAUUUCGUAGAAAAUUUUACCUGCUGUUUGUCUACACAUCAUUCAAUGUUCAAGCCAGACAGCUUCUAAUAAUUGUACUUUUAACGUGUAAAUUUUCUCGGAAACUUUGACUGAGACUAAGAGGAAAGUUUCACUUUAAGACAAUAAUUGUGUCCUCACUGAAAAGUAAAAACUGAAUGCGGUUUCUGCAAAUUAACCUUUGCAUUCAUUGAAACCCGUCUAUAUAUUCGUUAUUCUCGCUACUUUCUCAUCAUUCUUCGAAGAACGCAUGCAAAAUGGUUGCAAGUUCUCGGAUUUUUUUUUUUUUUUUUUUUAAUUUUGAGAAUACACGUCCAAAGCUAUUAUCCACGUGAAAUCGAGAAUAGUGAUAAAUAAUAAUUAAAAAUCACUGUUUGGGGAACAUGUUUUAAACUUGUGUCCUUACCUUACCUUAAAUCACAUACCGUCAUUUUGUUACUUUUUUCUUAUAUUGCUGCUUUGCUGCAGCUUUUAUUGGUUCCAUUUCAAACUAGUGUGAACGGAAUGCAUGGCAAAAACAUCCGGUUGGAAUUUUAGCUCGAUUGAUCGGACCAAAAUUUUUGGACUUUGAACUGAAUUUAAGGAUUUUGGGUUGAGAUCGAGCUUAAAUAUUAGGAUCCGAUUAAAAUUUAAGUUAGGGUUCAAGUCCUAUCUGAUCUGAAAUUCAAAAUAAAAUAAAAAUAAUUUUAUUUGUAUAAUUUUAUAAGAAAUUAUUUUGAAUCAUGUUUAUUUUAUUAUUUAUAUAAUUAUAUGGUUGAGAGCUUAAGUAAUUUUUAUGUUUAUGUUAAAAUUAUAAGUGAGGUUACGUAUAUUUUUAAAAAAUUUAAAUUACUUAAAUAUUUAAAAAAAUUACAAAUUAUGAAAUUCGGGCUUGAAAAAAGGCCCAACUUGAUCUUGACCUCAAUCGGAUUGGGUCUAACCCGAUCCAAAAUUUAAAUGAUCGGGUUUUUGUCUGGUUGGAUCUUUUAUUCUUGUUGUGCCCAAGUCCGACCCAACAAAUUGCCACCCUUGAAACCAAGUUUGUUGUUCUUCCGUGACAAAUUUUUAGGUUGUUAAUAAGGGUUGUUAUGUUUAGAAGGUUUGCUAACAAUAAAGAAAGUUGAUCCCCAUUGUUGAUGCUGAAAUCUGCUCGCCUCUUGACCGACCAGAUUCUUUCACCAACGUUUGUGUUAUCUACUGUUGCUCGUUCACUGGGAUUGAAAUCGUCCUUCUUUCUCUCAAUAGACCUGCACUCACUAAAAAUGGAUCAGAGACGCUGGUGGUUUUGCCGACGUAAACCCUCCGAUGCCUAAGUUAGCACAAGAUGUUUACGGGAAAACAAUGUAAUUUGGAUUCCAGGAGUUUAUUAAAAAUUUGUAAGGAAAUGGUCUGGUUGCAAUUUGGCAGCGUUUUCCCUCUCUCCAGUUUUUCUAUCCCUUUCUUCAUCGAUUUCUUCUUCUUUUAUAGCCGUUGUCCCCACGUUUCCGUUUGCCAUUCAUCCCACCUUUUUCGGGUAGUGGCAGCCCCUCAUGGGACUCUAACUGUUACAUUGUGGGCAAACGUGGAUCUCGCGUGUCCUUCAACGGUUCUGGGAAAAGCGCAACUACCGCGAUUCUGUGGGAUCGUGUUCCCGCUUCUCUGGGGAUGAGUGCCGGCUCGGUAUAUACCUCUGGUCGGUAUGUUUCCUUGGUUGUAUUUAUCUCUGGUCGGCUCAUGUUAGCCCACGUGUUCUGCUCAUAUCACUUUGGCUGAAGCGAUCCGUGCCGGGGCAGAAAUAGUAGCAUAGCCGACCUGGUGCUUUUAUGUACUCAACACCCAUAAAAGGUAAAAUUUCUACACAGGUCCUGCAGAUGGAGAAAUCCUUGAUUUUAAUAAUGGAAGAGGUAUGUUAGAAAAUAUGUUACAUUUUUCAAUGAGAACUUGCAAAUUUUAAAUUAUGAUAUUUUAUUAUUUAAGAAAUAAGUAAUUUUUUCUUUUGCACUUAAAUCAUUCAAGUAGAAAAACAACUUAUAUAUAAAAAAUAAAAAAAAUCCAUUACUCAAUCUAAUUAAUGUCUGGAUCCCUUUCAAUCUAGCAUAAGAAAUCUACCUGGUGGGAGAUAAAUAUUCUUAAGAUCUAAUUUAUUAUUAUUAUUAUUAUUAUUAUGGAUUUAUUUGAUAUUCUCCUUCUAUUUAUUAGUUAUGUAGUUUAUUUUAAACGGUUCAUUUGAUAUACUUGUGCACUCUCUAUACUUAAAUUUUAUGGACGCAUAAAAUUCAUGACACCCACAACUAUAUAAUGUGAUUUUUAUCACGAUAGCAUUUUCCAUUUAUCAAUUAUCAUACAUGUAACCCUCGUCAAUACGUACAAAAUUAGAGUUUGAAUUUCGUUUUGACGUUAACUUUGGGACUAAUUGGCCAAUUUUGUUUUGAAAAGCAACAUCAAUUUAAGGAAUAUUAUAAAAAGCGACAAAACUGCAAACAAGACACGCAAAUAUGAUUCUCCUGACUGCAGUUAAAUACCAAUUUCACCCCUCGGCGAUGAAUCUCCCAAAACAGCAACCAAGGGCGGGGUUUGAAGAGGGGGUUUUUUCAAUUUCUUCCCCAAUUCAAUACCCUACAAUGUCGUUUUCACUGUUUUCGACUCCACAACAACAGCAACCCCAGUCACUCUUCCAGCCCCAGCAGCAGCAGCAGCAGCAACAACAAAACCCUUUUCAGAGCAGCCCACUUUUUUCGCAGCAGCAGCAGCAGCAACAGUUUCUUCCACAACAGCAACAACAGCAGCAGCCGCAACAACAGCAUUUGUUUCUUUUCACGAAUGACAGAGCUCCGGCGAACUAUAGUACCAAAUGGGCGGAUCUUCACCCGGAUUCGCAAAAGAUUCUUCUUCAAAUCGAGUGUGUUUUUUUUUUCUUUUUUAAAUUUUUGUCUACGUUGUUGGCAAUAGAGUGUUUAGGGUUUUUAUGCAACUUAGGGCGGAGAAUAUAUGUUUACAUUAUGAGUUAUUAGUUAGACAUUGUAGCUUUGCUUCUUAGGCAAACUGUGUAAUUUGAGUAGAAUUUUCAGUUGUGUUCUGAGUUUCGAUGAAUAAGACUGUUUUGAUGGGUGUUGAGCUGAUGCAUGUAGGGAGCGGGUUUUGGAGUACAGGGAUGAGAGCCAGCGGCUAGAUCAAUGUAGUCGCCUUUAUGAUUCUUCGGUUUCCAAUGAAGGGUUCGAGCUCGAUGCAAGCCAUAUUGUCCAAGUAUGCAUUUUGAGUUUCUGUCAAUUGAAUAUUUUUUAUUGGUAUCUGGUUUGUUUUGUAAACUAUUUGUGAAAGCACUUUUGUUUUUAUUUUUGUGAGCUGUUGCAAUAUUGUUAUUAUUUUUUUUCCCCAAAUAUUCUUUGGAUUGAAUAACAAAAUCUUAGCUGGCAAGAUGUACAUCAAUUUAUAGUGUUUAUAUGCUUUUUACAUAUGACUUUUGACAUGCCUAAUUGGCAACUUUUGGACUAUGAUACUUGUGUCUUCCAUGCCACAAGAGUGUUCAAAUAUUGAAAAGUAAUGACAAAAUGUUCUGAGUUUGAUUUGUAAAAUCUUGGAAGGCAUAAGAUAGUUCAAUGAUUUGAUAUCACCGUAUCUCAGUCUUCUUUUGCUUGAAGAGCAGCUAUAAGGUUGUGAUAUUGAGUUAAUUAACAAACCAUCUAAUGACGUAAUCUCUCCUCCUCUAUCAAUGACCGUCACAAGGCCUAGGAUUGUUUUCUCUGGCCCUUUUAUUUUUUUUGGCAUGAGUUAUACUAUUAUCUUUCACAAUGCCAUUCUAAAUGCAACGUCAUGGCAUAAUAGUGAAUAUUCUUAAUAAAUUUUGGAAGGAACUUGGGGGAAUCAGUACUUCCAUGGAAAGGCAGAAAGCUCAGUUGCAAGAGCGGAUGGCUGUUGUUAAAGACAUGUUGCGGAACACAGAGAUAGCUGUUCGUUCUUUCAUGAUGCUGCGCCCUAGGUUUCUACAUCCUAAUGCAGGAAGUGCUUCAAGUGCUACUGCACCAUCCCAGGCUUCGGGAGCAACAGCAGCACCUUCUUCCACUGGUCAACCAGCAAGUAGCUCUGUAGUUCCAGUGUUUGACUUUUACCGAGGACUUCCAAAGAAACCAUCAGCUUUUUUGCAGCAAACAGUUGCCAGAUUUGAGAAAUAUCUGGGUGAGUUCCGCCAAUGGAUUGAAGAGUUAGAGCAACUGAUUCUUCUAGACCCAGAUAGGAACUCUUCCAGCCACGGAUCCUCUUUACUGCAGUCUCUACCUCAAGUCAUAUCAAACGUGCAUAUCUUUUUUGUUCACGUGGCUGCCAAGGUAAUACUGGAGAAAACCUUAGAACGGCUUUUAAUUAUCUGCAAUUUGUUUAUCUUAUUGUCUGUCCUUUAUAAGGAUGUAAAUGCUACAUAUGCUACUUCAAUAUUUUAAUGCAUGUGAAAAAAAACUGAUAUUUAAAGUUUGUGGAUCUAAUUUGAGUUGAAAGAGAAUUCUUUCACCAGAUGUGGUGCUGGAACAUUCUUCUUUUUGGGAAAUAACUUUAUGGAACACUGACUGGUUGUCUGGCACAUGUCGUGCCUCUUGGAGAACCACAUGAAAAGGCUGCAAGAGUACUUAAUAACUUGUGUUAGAUUGUAUUUGCCAAUGUUUUAAGUACAUGGGCCUUAAGCAGAAUAUGAUGCUAUUUCACGGUUCAUUUUAUAUUAUGCAGUCUUACAUGUAUGAAUUUCAAUGUCAAAGUAUGUGGUUUCAGCAUGUUGAGGUGCUGGAAGAAUUUUGAGUUGUGAUUUAUAAUCUAUGCUAUAUCGUGUGUGCCUUAGGCGGAGAGCAUUCAUCAAUAUGUUGAAACUAUGAAAACAGCUUAUCUCGCUGACCAGCGUCGACGAGGAGAUGGUAGUGACCCGUUUCUUGAGGCUGAUCGACGAGAAACAGCCAGACAGGAAGCCGCUGCUAAGAGGGUACAUCCAACUUUGCAUUUGCCUGUAAAUUCACAACCAUCAGCGCAAGUUGGUGGGUCGCUCACAAACACAGCUACAGGGGCAUUGGUCGCCCCACAGACAUCAGCGGUGAUAUCAGCUUCUUCAGGAGGUGGGCUCUCUCUUUUUAGCACACCGUCUUCUGCUCCAGCUUCCUCUAUGUCGUCUUCUCUGUUUGCAACACCAGCCACCUCUGCUUCACCUUCCUCAUUAUUUGGAUCUGGUGUAUCACCACAAAUGUCAUCAUCAUCUUUAUUUGCUGCAUCAACUCUGUCUUUGUUUGGUAGUACUGUUCCAUCUUUUGGGUCUACGACAUCUGCUGGAGCAUCACUUUUUUCAACACCAUUUGCAUCAGGUAUUUUGAUCCUGUUUAGUUUUAAAUUUCAAUAUCUACAACUACAAUCAAAUGGGCACUUUAUUCUAUCUGAUAAAAAGGAAAAAAAUUGGCAAUUCUUUUUCCUUUUUAUUGUAUUCUUUUUCCUUUUUACCACUGGUUGGAAACAUAGCAUUCUUCUUUUAGGCUUCUUUCAGGCUGGGGUUCACUUUAUUCAUGCAGUAUUUUGGCUGGCUAUAUACACGAAUUCUGUUUGGAUAAAUACCAAUAAUUUGUCCUUCAUAUGAAAGAAAAUUAACAAAGUAGGUGUUGUUUGCAACAGCAAUAAAUCUCGUAAACACAGAUAACUACAUUAUUGAAAUUGUGUUCUGCAAUAGCACUGUGAAUGUAGUGACAUGAGAAGGUUCUUCAAUUAUUUUGUAGCCAUUUUUUUUUCUUUGGGUUAUUAUUGUAUAAUUUUAAAUACCUUGAGAUAUACACAUAAGAUCUCCAGAAAUUUGAUUCUGGUGAUACUGAUUAUAGAAUUUCUCAUUCCUCAGAACUCCUUACUAGAAAUUGAUUUCUUAUUCUAUAUUAAGUUUUAUGAUUAUUCAAUAUUUUGUUUGUGUUCUGGUUUAUUUAUGACAUGAAGCAUUGGCUAAGAUGUUGAAACUGAGGACUCCUUUUGCCUCAUUGACUUGGCAGAUAAUCUAGUUAGUUUAUGAUAAGUGAGGAGGUAGACACUUGUUGAAUUUAAGUUAUUCUUGAUGGUUAUGUUAUUUAUUUUACUGUCUGCACAAAGUAUUACCAUCCAGUAUCUGUAUAAAGUAUUAGAUCAAUACAUCUGAAAAAAAAAAAUAUUUAUAAAGGAGCAUAUUUAUUUAUUUUAUUUAGUUGAUAGCUAGUGUGUUAAGUAAUAAGAAGAGCCAUUGAAGUUAUUUUUGGCUGCUAUUUUAAAAUUUUUUUUCCUUACUUUCCCUUUUGUCGGAACUACAGGUGCUCCAUCAGGAUCUGGGGCUAGCUUUGGGGCUGCAUCUGUGAGUGAAAAAUCAUUUUUUCCUUUUCUAUUUACGCCUAAGAAGAAAUUUCAAUGAACCUAGUUUUAGUUUUAAGUCAUUUUUAAUAUACAGCAGCUAUUUGAGAUGAAGCUUAGUCCACAUGCUUCACUUUCUUGCUUUCAUAAGUUUCCUUAAUGCAUAGUAUCCAUCUACUGAAUUUUCUUUCCUUUUCUGCUGUCCUUGCAGAAAUCAACAAGGCCAAAAACUCGAACUGCCCGACGCUAAUCACAGCGUCUUCAGUCUUGAAUUUUGGAGGGAACAUCCACAUCCUCGAAUUUUUGCUAGCUGAAGGCAUUCAUAGUUGGCAACAAACUAUCUGUUCAGAAGGACCUCCAAUAGGUUCUUGUUUGGUUCGGAGAUCUAUGUUGAUGUAAUGUUGUAUGAUAUCUUUUAGGUAGGAUUUUUGUGGUCAGUGUCAGAGAUAUCUAACAUGUCAAAAUAAGCUUUCUUCUCACAUUAAGAAAGAUUAGAUUAGGUUUUAUUUUUUUCUUAAAAAUUUUGUUCUCUGAUUACCCUAUGUUGUAAUUUCCAUUGGAUCAAUGCUUAUUGAGAUAUUGUGUUCCUGGUACUUUCUCCAAUAAAUUUAUCUACAGAAGAAAACAAUGUAAAAUUUGCAUGACAGGCUUUACUUUUCUGACCAAGAGCCCAGAGAUGCUCGCACCGUGAACAGGCUGGUGCGUACAUUGUGGUCCGUUUGAAGAUUAAUGACACUAAUAGUAUAAAUAAUAAUAAUAAAAUAUGCUUUCAUGAAAUCGAGAUACAAUUGCCCUCCUCGGUCAGCUGCCUGAGACAAGAGGUUCUUUAAUUACAUGCUCUUUCAAAAAUACAUUUUUACUGGAACAAAUUGUCCAAUUCUCACUUGCUAUUAGUCUUUACAUCCUAUUUAGAUAACUUCUUUACCAAAUUCAUCUGUCACUAAUUUUCUCAUGUUCCCACGAAGCCUAUGUAGUUCAGCUUGGGCGUCAUCAAUCUUGGGGUGUGACUGAUCGCCAGAAGAGAAUACAUGAACGUUAUUCUUGGCCUCAAUCCAGCUUAGCCCAGGUUCCUUUACCAACAUUGAUCCUUUCAUCUUUCUCCUCAUUUUCGCAACACAAUCCCAUCUCCCUGUGGCCGCGUAAAGAUUAGAUAGCAGUAUAUGUGUAGUACCGUCUUCUGGAUCCAAUCUUAAAACUUGCUCCGCCGCUUGAAUAACCAUUCUGGAAUUUCUUUUAGCGACACAUGUGCUUAGCAAAGUUCUCCACAGUUCUAUACGGAUUUCACUAUAAGGUGAUUCUGCUAUCAAAUUUUCAGCCUCAUCUAGCAGUCCUGCUCGACUUAACAAACUAACCAUGCAAGAGUAGUGUUUAUGCCCAGGAAUUAAACUAUGUUCCUUCAUUUGAUUCCACAAGAUCUUCCCUCUUUCGACCAAACCACUAUGACCGCAAGCAGACAGCAGAGACAAAAAUGUUAUUUCAUCUGGUCUCAGGCCAUGUUCCAGGAUCACUUCAAAGACCAUGAAUGCCUCCUCUGCCAUUCCGUAGUGACUAUAUCCACCGAGCAACACAUUCCAGCACUUCAAAUCAGGGUGCAAAACUUGAGAAAAUAUUGAUUCAGCAGCUCGAAGAUCACCAUUUUUGGCAUACAUAUCUACCAGACUCCCACAAACAGACAUUUCAACACCAUGCCCUGUUUUCUCUGCCUGAGAAUGAAUCAUCUCACCUUGUUUCAAAAUUGCAAGGUCAGCACAAGCACUCAGAGCCCCACUAAGAGCAAAGGUAUCACAUUUAAGGCCUUCUCUACACAUUUUACAGAAGAGUUUGAUUGCACAUUCCCCGUCACCCAUUCUCGAAUGACCGAUGAUCAUCUCAGUCCAAAGCACAAUAUCCUUCUCUGCAAUCAACAUAAAAACCUUUUGAGGGGAUUCUGCAUCACCAUUUUUGAAAUACAUGUUCAAAAGUGUAGUUCCCACAAACACACUACUAUCGUAUCCAGUUUUAAUAACUAAGGCAUGUAAAGGCUUCCCAUAAGCAGAAGCAGGGAGAGCAGAAGUAGCAGAUAUGAUGGCAGCAAAAGUAUACUCAUCUGGUUUCAGAAGUGACAUUCUUCGCAAUGCAACAAACAUAUCCACUGCUUUUUCUCCAUUUCCAUUUUCCAUAUAGCCAGCAAUCAUUGAGUUCCAUGAAACCAGAUCUGGAUUUUCAAUUCUUGUAAAAACACUAAAUGCUGUUUGCGUGUCACUGCAUUUGGAAUACAUGUCAAGCAAAGCAUUUUCCAAAGGCAAAUCGACUUGUGUGUUUGAUAUGAUCACUCGGGCAUGAAUAACUUUUCCACAAACAAAAUUUCCCAUUCUGCUACAAGCAUUUAGAAGCAUAGAAUAAGAAAACUGAGUAGGAUUUACACCGGACCCCACCAUAGCACCAAAUAAAGAAAGCCCUUCUUUCAUCUUAUCAUUCUUGAAAUUCCCAAGAAUAAUGCUAUUCCAAGCAACAGCAUCUUUAUCGCCUAUUAAACCAAAAAUUCUCUUUGCAGAUUCAAAAUCCCCACAAUUUGAGUACAUCCCGAGCAAAGACGUUUGAACACAAGUGUCUUCCGAGGAUCCAUAUUUUAUCACUUGGGCAUGAAGCAGAGACCCCAUCAACUGAUCCUCGAGCAACGAAACUGCCUGUGCCAGGCUCGUGAAGGUCAAACCAUUAGGCCUCAAACAUUCGAACUCCAUCUGGUCAAUCAAUCUGAAGGUCAAGUGAGCAUGAUCAUGAUCACGAGAAUAUGCUGCAAUGAGUGCAUUAUACGAAACCAGACUUCUUUUGGGAAUUUCGUCAAACACUUGGCGCGCGUCUCUUAUCGAGCCGCACCGCCCGUACAUUGAGAGGACGUUGUUGUACAUAUACGGAGAUUGAGCAUUGAUGGGAAUGUGAUUGGUAGUUAAAACGAGCGCGUGUAUUUGACGCGCUCUUUUCAGGGAGGUUAUUGAGGCGCAUAUUUGUAUAAGAGUAGCUAUAUUACGGCAGAGGUUUUCAUGCGUUGGCGGCAUAAAAAUUAAGGACCUGAGUGCCUGCUCCGUUCGUUGAAAGUUGAAACCUUCACCCGCCAAAACUCCUAGCCGUUUGGAUUUAAAAGGUGAAAGAAAAUUUAGACUUAUCUUUGGAUAAUAACAUCUGGAUCCGUAGGUCUGGAAAAACCACAAAAAGCACAUACAAGUUUACAAUAUUCACACAGUUAUGAAUGAAUAUUCUAUAUCACAAUUAUACAUACUAUCCGUAUAUCACACUUAUAUUUAUACCCAAAAAGGACUUAACAUACAAUAUCACUAAUAAAUUAGGGAUUCGUGUAAUGUAGUCGUGUGCUGGUUGACUUUGCACGAUAAUACUUUAAAUUCCCAUUAUAAUUUCUUAAAAUACUCUAGUAGCACUUGUGCACGAAAACCUACUAUUUAAAAGUUUGCACGCAUUGUAAGAAAUCUGCAUUUGGGACUAGAGAUGGUAAAGUGCGGGUCUGGCUAUACUUUUAUCACCUGAAAUAUUUUUCUAACUUUUCUACCCUUAUGUGGUGUACCUUAGGUAACCUGCAGAAUACUUAGGGUAUCCGGCAUAAUCCUGGAUCCUUUUGAUAAUUUUCCUUCUAUUAUAAAACUUAAUAUCGACGCAUGAUACUUUGUUAUUAGGCCUCCCACUUCUUCCUCCAAACAAAUUUAAUUUUUUAAUAUUAGAUUCUCUAAUUCGAGCAGUCUCUUAAUUAAUUAACAGUUACAAUAUAGUUUAGUAUUAUAAUUUUAGAUUUUUUGAAUUAUUAUUGAUUUAUAAAUUAGAGAUUUAUUGUUUUUAAUUUUUCUAUUAUUUUUAAAAUUUUAAUUUAUUAUUCUGAUUUACAAAUUUUUUUUUUUUCAAAUAAAGGGCUGGGCUACCCAAACAUUUUUGUUCACCCUAUUUGAGAUCUUAGGUUUAUUUAGUUGAGUUUAUUGAACAUAGUCUAUGGACUUUUUCUAAAAUUAUGGGAAUAGAUUUUUUCUAAAAAAGUUUCUCUAUUUUUAAAUAGGACUUUUGACAAAAAACAAUUGGAUGUUUGGUUAUCAAUUAAAAAACUCUUUUAAGUACUUUUAAGAACUUUUAAGUUGUUAAAUUACUAAAAAAAUGUACAAAAAAAAACUAACUUCAUAAUCAUACAACUUUUCACAAAAUACACCCAAGUGAUCAAUUUAUAUAAAAAGUACACGUUUCUUUAGUGUUCAAAUUCAACAAACAAGUUUUUAGAGUAUAUAUAUAUAUAUAUUAUUAGGAUAUUUUAGAUAUUAUAUGUAAAAUAAAAUAAAAAAUUAUUUUACCUUUACUCCUAAAAUUUUAUAUUUUAGGUGUAUAGAAGAAGAGGUAAAAUAAUUUUUGAAGAGCACAAACCAAACGCCCCUAAAAACUUUAAUAAAUAUUUUUAGAAUUAAAGGAGAAAAAAAAAAAGUACUUCCAACCUUCCAAAACUAUACGAAACACACACUACUUCAAAAUCGAAAGCCCCGGAGGCACAAAGAGAACAAGAAGAGCGAUAAUCGUAGCUGGAAAAUGUCCGGCGGCUCUACAUACUCCCGUCUUCACCGCCUGAUCAGUGAUUCUGUCCGUCCGUGUACCGUCAGUCCUAUAACUCUCCACUCUCCACUCUCUCUCUCUCUCUCUCUAUAUAUAUAUAUAUAUUGUCUUUUAUCUGGUGUUCCAAUGUCCUCUGUUAUUGUAGGCAGCAGAGGUAGUUUCUUUGACCAAAGAGAAAGAGAAAGAACUUCUCGCUUCUCUCUCGCAGGUUCGCUUCUUUAUCUGACUAAUAUGCAUACACCUCAAUUCCUCAUGCAGGGAAAGGUUAUUUUUCAUAAACCAAUUUCUGUUUCAGGUCUUGAGGCAAAUUCAGCUCUGGACUCGUCAACUUGAGAGUGAUUCCGACGAUGAUGAAUUGAGUGCACAAUCUGAGGACCAUCGUUAUUUAUCCAACAUCGUAGCUGAAUUGGUAAUUGCAUUUUUAAGGAAAAGAAUUAUUUACGAAUUGACAAUUUCUGCCGUUGACAAAUGUAUGCUUAUAUUUAGUCGGGACUCUUUUUGUUUGUAGAGUUGUGUGUAUAGAUAGUAAUUAAUUGAGAAUGCGUACUUAACUGAAACAGUAAAUUUGCUUGAUGCAUAAUUCAGUGGAUUUAACCUUUCUGUGUUCUGUUUGGAUGUAGGUAUUUUUGCUUACUCUUAAGAAUCGCUAUGUUCAACAUUUGGCUGUCAAAAUUUUAGUAGCCAUCUCCGGGUUCCUGGCUACAUCUGUAUGUUUAUAUAUAUAUAUAUUUUCAUAUUAGAAAAAUGCUGACUGCAAAUCAAAAUGAAUUGUGCAAUUUAUCUUAUUGGCUAGCAUGGUCUGCAGGGAAGCAAUUGGGGCUUCUUUAUACGUUUCUUGUGUCUUUGCAUGGAGUUGGUGGCUACCAAUGCAUUGUCUUUUUCUUCCGCAUCUUCAACGGCUGGACUGGAGAAUUCGCAUUGCAAUUCUUCAAGUCUUUUGGUUGUAAAACCUAGAUUGAAAAAUGCUGGGUGGUCUACUUUGGCCGAAAUUGUUCGAGUGUUACGCAGCAUAUUGAAGUGUUUAAAUCAAGAUUUUGAAUAUGACGAUAAUCUUGCUGAAGUAUAUUUAGAUUCCGUGUAUUAUAGCCUUUCAAAUAUGCCUUGGGAUUCCUUGGAUGUGAUUUAUAAUAGUCAGAAUAGCUUUUCUGUAGAUGCUUUGGAUGACGCGUCAGGGGUUGUGUUUCUGGGGAACUUAAUUCAGUUUUUCUGUUCUAUGGUUGAGCAAUGUGGUUCUGUCGAUGACGCAGGUCGUUCUCAAGAUGAACAUCCCUUUUUUGGUCUAGUCACCAACCUUGUACCUAAACUUUUCUAUUGGUGCCUCAGCAUGCAAGGACAACAUGUUAUAACUUGCAUCCGUCAAUACUUCAGACACAAGUUGCUGGUAAGUAUCUACUUCAGUUGCUUGCUUGGUGAACUCAGGAAACAGAGUCCUGGAAUACAUUGUUCACUCAUUAUUCUUAGCCAACUGUCUACAAUCAUUAUUACUUAUUGCUGGUAAGGGCUUCCUAGGAAUGCAAGUUAUGCUGCAUUUUUCAAUUGAAAUAUUUCCCCAUAUCUUAUUCUAAUAGGUUGGCUCUAGGAUUGAGAAAGAAAAGUGCUGAGAUUUUGGUCAGAAGCUCAAAUUUUUUUAAUGGAUAUCUUAUAGAUUUUGUAGAUUUUUACUACUUUUAACCUUAUUUAGAUUUUUCUGCUCAUGGUGAGAAUUUUCAUUUAGGUUCUAGUCGUUUUGAUGCUGUUACUUCUGCUGACAAUUUUGUAGCAGUCUAUUUAGUGCGUCUUUUAUUUUCUUUUUGAAAUCUUUUAAUGUACUCUUUUACCUGUUUCUAACUUGUCAUUUUGGAGGAUUAAGAACAUGUACAUUCUCAUGCACCAGAUGCUAACAGCUGGCCACAAGUUCAGCUAUUUUCCCCUUUUUUUUUUUAAUGCGAUGAAUCUCUCACAAUCUUCGUUUUGAUUAUUUAAGUAACUCUUUUUAUUUGAUAUGUUAAAAUAUCCACAAGUGUAUAGAGAAAUACCCUUGAUCCGUGAAAAUAUGUUAUUACUGUUAUAGAUCUACCAAAUACUCAGACCGAAUCAUAUUUUGCAGGUUCUAAUGCUCAGGUUGAGUCUCCAAAUUCAUCUAGAUUGUUGCAUUCUUGUUUCGUGGUUGCAGCUUCUUCAUAAUUACUUUCAAGAGCUCUUGUGGCAACCCAUAGCUUCACCGGGGUCUGUUCAGGAUGAUUGUUUAGAAGGCUCUCCAUUUCUAUUGAGUAAUUCUGAUGGAGAGGUAUAUAAUAUGUGUUCUCGUCACUUAAAAAGACAAGCUAUUUUCCUUUUCCUGAGGUGCUGCUUCAGUUUGAUCAACCCAAGAGGAGGUGCCAAAAAGCUUUGUGCAUGUUUAACAACAGACUCAUGCUUGAAUUUUGACCCAGAUUUGGAUUGUAUUGGUAGAAGGAGAGGUUUAUUAGAGCUAUAUAAGUGGCUUCAAGGGAAUCUUCACUUGGAUGUGUUUGUUGACUAUGAAAUGUAUAUAGAAAAUUGUGUUAACUUCUCCUUAUCCUUCCUCCAGCUAUUUGUGCAUGAGGUUUGUCUUCUGCCCCUAAGCAGUUUUACUUUUAAGUCUCUCUUUCUCUCUGUCUCAGAAAAAGAAAUUAUUUUAUAGGUUGUAUAAUUGUUCUUGAAUGUUUACAUCCAAAACUUUUAUUACUACCUGAUGAAUUUCAUAGCUUGGUCCAACAAACCUUGUACACUAAGGAUCUCUGUCAAAUUUUCUAGUUUAUUAAAAUCAAAUGCUUCUGGAUUGUGUUAUUUUUUUUAAUUAGUGUUCACUGAUGAACCCCAUCCCAAAUUAAUCAAAUCCAUCUCUGGGGGAUUCAAACCCUUGAGCUCUUGCCUCUACUGCAAGAGAGGAAAACAUCUACGUUGUCCUGUUGGGGAAAGAUUGCAUAAUCUUGUCUAGUCAUAACAUCUGUUUGUUGUUGUUGAAUGCUUAAAUGGGGUAUGGCAUGAACUAAUGUCUGUAGUUUGAAUGUUUUGGUAGGCAAGGGAGCAAAUCCAUUUUGUGGAAUCUGCUGCGGGACUUGAGUCAUUGUUAGUUUGUUACUGAUUCUUGUUGACUGCACAUUGGCUGCUUGUAAAAAUGACACACAAGGUUUUAGCUAUCUGAAGACUUUUUGUUGUUGUUCUAUGGUUAUAUGGGGUAUGGGAUGAACCAAUGUCUGUGGCUUUUAAUGUCUUGCUAAGCAAGGGAGUAAAUCCAUUUUCUAGAAUCUAUAAUGGGACUUGACUCAUUAUUUCUGAUUCUUGUUGAAUGCACAUUGGCGGUGCUUAUAAAAAUUACAUGCAAGAUUUUAUCUAUCUGAAAAUUUGAAUUUUCUUCAGCAAAAUGAGAAAUGAUUGCACAAUUACUGAAGCCAAGGUCAUUAUAGGAAUAUACUUAUCUUUUUUUACCCCUUUUUUCCUUCUUUCUGUCAGUCUGAAAGUUUGGACUAGUUAUUGCAUAGUACUACACCCAAAUGUUCUUUUUUCAUGUUAUUUAUGCUGUUCAUUCAAAGUUCUAAUCAUUUGCCUCUGUCGAAACUAUAGGACGAUAUAUUAUUCAAAGUGCUUCUGCAAUUGCUAAGUUUGCCAUUUUGUGUGGAGCAAAAGUGAGGAUCAAUUUUCAUUGCUUUUCUUUAUGAAUUAUUUUAUCCAGUGCGCUUUUAAUGGACUGUGGAGCGGAAUGUAGGUUUAACAAGAGAAAAUGGACAUCUCAGGAUACGAAAGAAGACAUUCUUUUUCAUGUAUCAAAUGUUUUUAAUCCCGUGCACCUUUUCCAUCUAUUUCUAGCGGAGGUGAAGUUUUUCUACACGUUACAGUGUUGCUUCUAUUAAUAAUGGAAAUGGGGAAAGCAUCUGUUGGAAUCUGUGAUAUUAUGAUCUCUUGUUUUCAGUUACACUAUGAUCAUCAAGUGCUUCUUGAUUACCUUAUUUCGAAGGACACAGGCACUGAUUGUGCUGAAUAUCUUUUAAGGUGUGUGUUCAAGUUGUUUUCUUCAUAUUCUUCCCUUUUCACUUAUUUGAGAAAUAUUAAAUUGCAGCGAAUGACGAUUAUCUGGCAUUUAAUUUGUUGAUAAACCAAAUAUAUUGAUUUAUAUAUAUAUGUUUCACUUUUUUAUCUGAUUGAACUUUAUAGAAAAUGUGCUGCAGUAAAAUAUAGUUGGCUCUAAAGGGUGGGACUUGAGCAGCAUCUGUCUCUCAUAUGUAUUUAUAUAUUUACCCAACCUGAUUUCGGCAUACCUUUUCAAUGUCAUUGCUUUUGACAUAUUUUCACUAGGUGCCUGCGAUUGGUAAGUGAUUCAUGGCCCUUGUUCAUGGAAUUUUCACUUAGUGGGAAAGUUACAAACCAAUCAUCUGACAAGAGAAGAAAAAUGUUAUUGGGAAGCUCAAAUGAUCAGUUUGGCCUACCAUCUACAACCUUGAAAAACAUUCCAUCACUUGAGGAGGAAUGUAAGAGUGACCUUGAAUAUAGCUAUCAGCACUAUGUAACUGCAGAAUCUCAUUACAAGAAAGCCAAAGAAUGUUUGUUUUCUUUGAAGACAUCUGUGGAAAACCUUCAUCAGAAGAAUCUGUUCCAAUAUAAUCCAGAAGUUCUUCUAAAACGGUGUCUUCUCUCUCCCUCCAUACUUCUUUAAGUUGCAUUCAUUUUCUUUGUGCUAACUGCUUUUGGUAAAUGGUUUGUUAUUUUCCUGUAUUUAUUUUGGUUGUUUGAUAAGACAUGGAAAUAAGGAAAAGCAUACCUUGUGAAGUUGAGUAUCUAAUCUUUUCUUGUUUAUAUAAAAUAGCAAUGUUCCUAAAAUACGUCAAUAUCUCGCCUAUAUGGUAAUUCAUCACUAAAGAGAUUCUUAAAUUUACAUGGCCUUAUUGAGAAUCGAUAAUUUAUUCUUUCUAAACAUUUGUACUCUUAUUAGUGGCUCGGAUUUUCUGGUGUCAUUAAAGUCACAACAGUUUAUGGUAACAAGGCAAAAUGAUGUAGGGAUAGUUUAUGUUUAAAUUUGACUAGCGGUAUAGCUCUCAUCGCCUAGGCUAAAUGUUACAUACAAGUGAAUGCGAAUCUGGGACUACAGAUUUUAUUGGCACGUUUCUUUAUUAAGGACACUGUAGUUAUUUAUUUUGUUUAUAUAUUUUUCAGUUUAAUGAGAUUUCAGGAACUUUGCUCUAUGGCAAGAUGACCGUGACAAUUCAAAGAAGGGAGGACCACUUAGGUGAUGUUUGGUUUGAAGAAAUGUGAGAAGAUGAGAGGAGAGGAAAGUGGAGGAAAAGAAAAGAGAGGAUAGGAGAGUGAAAAACUUUUCUAAUGUUUGGUUUGAUACAUAAUUAUAUAGAGAAAGGAAAUCUCUAAUUUUUUAUUUAGACAAUUUUAACCUUAAUAAGUGCUUAGCUUUCAAUAUUUAUCAUGAAUAUAAUUCAAAAAAAUUAAACAGCAAAUGUUAGAGAAAGAGUCAGGUCACAGGAGAGAAACGGGUCAACCCGAACCUGAGAACCCAACCCAAAAGUCAUUAAUGAUUCCCGCCACAUCACCGGUAAUGGAAGGUAUUGAUCAGAACCUCAAGAGCCAGCGAUCAUUCCCCAUCCAUCACUGCUGGUGAAUAUUGUCGGAAAGCCUCCAAUUGAAUCAUGAAAAGCUGCGGAUAUCACUGCCUCAAAUCGGUGAGUUUUCAUCUUUUUCUUGUCACGGUGUCACCUUGGUUUUGUCUAUCAAGGCUGCCACUUCCAUUUCCGACCAUCCAUAGCCACUAGCAACCACCAAAUCGUUGCCGAUCAGCCGGAUUUGAACAACAUACAACCAUUUUUUGAUCUCGACGAUGACAUAGUAAUGUUGAUCGUUGAUCAGCAAGUCGAAUGGUAGUCGCAGUGAGUAACACACGCCAGUGACACCGGCGGUGGCGGCAAUCCUACGAUCCGGCGACUGUUAAUUUAAUAUUUAAUAUUUUUAUAUUAAAUAAAUAAAUAAAUUUAUUUUAUUAAGCUUUUUAAAUCAUUAUUUAAAUUUAAUUAAUUUAAAAUUUUCUAUAAUGUUGAAUUGAAAAAAAUAAAACUAUAAAUAAUAAUUAUGUGAUUACAUUAAACAAGUUAAAAAGUUAAAGGGGUAUUUUUAGAAGUUUUGAUUUUUAACAUAAGGGGAAUUUGAAUUCUUCACUUCUUGGUGUAGAAUUCAAAUUUCAUAUUAUAAUGGAUAUUAAUUUUUAAUAGAAGUUAAAUUAUUACAAGUUAUGUCAAAACAAACAACAGAAAUAAAAAAAAAGAAUUCAAAUUAUUUUUCCCUCCUCCAUUUCCUCCUUUUAACCAAACACAACCGUAAAGAAUUUCAGCCAGUCCAGUAUUUCUCAAGAUUAAGAAGAAAUGGUAAAAAUGAGAUCUUUUCAAUAUAUUAAAGAGGCAUUUGUUUAAUUGGUAAAAAUGAAUGGAAAUAUUUAUCAGAGCAGUUGAGACAGAUGUCUUGAAAGGGCUCUCCAGUUCGUCAAAACCCUUGGGCCAAAUUUAUGUUGAAAUUUCAAUGGUAUUGAUUUAUCAGAUAAAUCUUUUGAACAAUUGAUGAAGGUAAGGAUAUUUGCCCACUUUUUUAAUGUGCAGUUAACAUUCAUGCUUUCUGAUCUGCUUAUUGCGGAAAUUUUUCUGGUGUCCUUGUAAAGGAGUCAGAAGAAAGGGAUCUUUGAACUCAUUUCUUUGACUUUAUCUUAAUCUAUAUGGGUCAGAGAGACAAAUAGUAGUAUCUUAUGGUGGUUGCAAAGCCAUUUAUUAAACUUGGUUCUUUCCCUACGCUUCUAGGGCGGAAUCUUGACAUGACUUGAGGUCCUUGCACUUGGUUAUGUUAUUUUUCCCCCCUCCUUUGAUAAGCUAUGUUAUGUUAAUCUAACAAACCUAUUCAAUAGUCUUUUAAAUAUUUAAGUAGCGUUUACUUUUUAGAUUGGAAUGAGAAUCUUAGGAUUGAAAGUGUGGAGUGGGAGUGACAGUAGGUUAUUUACUUACACUGGAAUUGAAGCAUGAAAUGGAAAUUAAAAUCCAAUUUAUGUGUUUAUUUUGUCUUGGAUUGGGAGUAAGUUUCAAAUUAUAAUUUUAUCUUUAUUUAAAGAAUUAUAGUUUUUAAUUACAAAGUUAAUAAAAAUAUAUAUUUAAUGAAUAAAUAUUUAUUUUAUUAUAUUUGUAAAUUUAUAAUAAUUAUUAAUAUUCUUAAUUAUGAAAAUCACAAUUUUUAUUAAUUUUAAUUUUAAUAUAAAAUGAAACGCUAUUUUAUUUUAUUUAAUAUAAUUAUAUUAAUUUAAAUAUAGUUGUAUUAAAUUUAUUAUUAUAUAAAAUAAUAAUAUAAUAUUAUUUAGUACAAAAUUAAUAUAUUCUUGGAAUAAACUAUUUAUUAUUAUUAAUUAUUAAUAUUAAAUAAAUAUAGUACUAUUAUUUUAAAAAUAAAUAUAAUAAUAUUAUAUUUAUUAAUUCUCUAUUAAUAUAAUAAUAUUAUUUUUAAAUAAUUUUAACUUAGAAUCAAUGCAAAUUAUUAUUUAGUUAAAUAUAAUAAUAUUAUUCAAAUAAAUUUAAUAUUAUUUAUUUUAUUUUAUUAAUUAUAAAAUAUUAUAUUGAAUUAAAUAAAAAAAAGGUAGAAAAAGGAGAGGUGGGAGUGGAUUUUAUUUCCACUCCCACCUCCCCCAGUGGGAGUCCCACUCCUACUCUCCACUCAAAAAAUAAGUGGGGUCCACGGAGUGAGAUUCUUAAUCCCUCUCCAAUUUAGUGAAGUAAACACUGGGGUGAGAGGAAUCCGCACUCCUCACUCCCACUCCAGAAAGUAAACACAGUUAAUGACGCGAAUGACCCAGAUUGAAUGACUCUAGUAUCUAAUGCAAUAAUGCUUUAUUAACUAUCGAAAUUUUCCUUUAUUACUUAAUUUUUCCUAAAUUUUUACCCUUCUUUCUCAACCCUUUUAUUUAUUUUUAUCAAACUCCAUUGUUGCAGAGAAAAAAAACAACAAGAUUCCAAAUCUAUUUUUAUCCAUCUCUAAUAUUUAAUUAUAUCACAACGAAUACAUCUUAGUCGCUUCGCUUUCAAAAUUCUGCAUGGCCGGAAAAUAUUAUUCAAAAGAUUUCAGAAGAUGUAUCAUAUUAUAGUGGAAACAAUUUUGUUUUGAAGGACAAGAUCAAUUAAGUUAAAGAAUUUGCAAGUUUUAGUCUUGUAUUUAAACUCUGUUGUUUUCAAUAUCAGGUUGUAGCAUAAUAGUUACAACUUACAAGCAUACUCUUAAUCUGUAUCAGUUAUGUUUUUCAUGGUCCAUAUGCUUUAAGGGCUGCAUGAAUAACUACAAAUAUGUGAGUUUUGUAAUAAAAAAGCGUGCAGUCAGAUGACUUGACUUUUGUGGAGGAGUAUAGGCAGGCUUAUCUUGAACUUGGAACACUCAUAUCACUGAAGUUAUAUCAUGUCUACUGUCCAGCGAAAAAUACACGAUUAAUUCCCGAGUGUAUCACGUCCGAGUGAAUGCAUAAAGACAACAAAGUAAUAAGCCCAAGCUUCAAAUUAAUAAUCAUGCAACAGCGCCAAUAUACGCAGAGCACAAUAAUACAAGAAGUAGCAGAAUAAUGUGAUUUGAGCAUUGUCGUCACGACUUGGACAUAUCACACCCACGAACAACAUUAAUUUAACCGCAAGUGGCAAAGAGAAAACGGAGAAAGCACUUGAUUUAUUUAUUUGUUUGAAAAGCAUCUGACAUGAUUAAUUUUAUGCAUACUUAAGAGAAAUCUGAGACAGACAAUCGCAAAGUUUCCGUGGCUCGGAAAGCAUUGCCAUGUGAUCACCGCCCUUGAUCUCCAUCACCUCAUUAACGGGAUAGUUUUGGAUCAUCCAGUGCUGAAAUUGCUUAGGGAGACCAAUAUCCUCUUCGCAUACAAGAUAAACUCGCUUAACAGAUCCGUAUCCUUCAUUGCUGAACUUACUUUCCUUCGAUAAGUUGUCUAUAAACAUUGAUCCUGGCCUCACCAACAUCUUGGCCAGCUCCAGAUCCUUUCAAUUAACAUAAUACAUAAACAAAUUGAAUGAAUAGGGUGAUAUGGUAUAAAAAAAAUGUUCUACGGCGACAAUUAAUUAAUUAAUUAAUUAAUUAAUUCUGACAUGUGAGUAGUAAUAAUAAUAAUAAUGAUAAAGUUUAACAUGAUUUGCAUGGUGUCGCUGUCGAGAUAUGGGUAGGAUACAAUUUGACAAAGCACAAUUGCACGUCCGAUGAAUGUGAUGCGCAGUAAAUUAAUUACCUCAGGAGGACAAAGCUGAUAGAGCUUGAUAGUCAAGAACUCGCGGCCGAAAAGCAUGGAAAUGUGAGAUGGAUUUGACUCGUCACAUUGUGAAAAUUGAGUGUCCAACCAGCUGUCGUCCUCUUUUCCGAUCUUCUCACAAUACUACUUUUCAACAUGCACAUAAAAUCCAACAAAUUAGAACAAAAUAUAGUAAUCGCAAUUAAUUGACUGGUUAAUUAAAGAGUUACAGAUCAGUUUCAACUUUAAACACGCAUGCAUCUCAAAUAAAUGUGAUGAUCAGAUUCAGAUGAGACGAGAGAGAUACGGGAACCUGCUCCAAAACAAAAGAUGGGCGGUGUGUGGUGUCAGGCAUGAAUGCAGUUACGAAAACAGCCACGGAGAUUUUGUGUGGGAAUUUGUCAGCGGCAAGGGCCAAAGUGACGCCCCCAAGGCUGUGUCCCACAAGUAUGACCUUUUCUUCGGCAGGAAGUGAUGCCAAGACCUCCAUCAAGGGCUCACUGUAUGCAUGGAAUGUGUGCACAUCCUCAAUUCUCUUCGUGUUGAUGCCCGAGGCGGCUAGGUCCACCGCCGUCACCCGGUGACCCCCCGCCACCAGCCUUGCUUUCAGUUUGUACCAACACCAUGCUCCAUGGUUUGCUCCAUGAACUAGAACAAAAUGCUUCCCUUUCAUGCCUACUACUUCUUCCAUUUUCUUUUCUCUACUUAACUAGUUAUUUAUAAUGCCUUCUUCCCUUUGUGUUGCAUUUAUUACACACACACUGAUGACGCAUCAUUCGUACUCUUCAAAUUGAAUUUCAGAAUUUGGGUGGGUCCCAAUCUUAGCAAUUCAAUUAGGAAACACUUUACUGGUCCCAGACUUAAAAGAUCUUCACUUAUUAAAAUCCAGCCAUUCAUUUGAUUCAAUCUAAGAGCUUAGCCACUUGUCUUGUAGAUUGAACCAUUACCCUUAAAGUCAAAUAUGAUAACGAGGGCAAUAGUUUGAGUCUCCAUGAACUCAACUUUCUUCAAUUAAUAUAAUUGUGUGGAAGUUACUUAUAAUAUUUUUUUUCUUUACGAAAUACAAGUGGAGUAGAGACAUCACUCGGAGUAGAGACAUCACUCCUCCGUGAAUGGUAUUUGGUUAGGUAUGCACUUUAAGAAUAAAAAUGUAAUAAUAUAAGUCUCAAGUAUAUAUCGGAUUGUAAAUAUCAAUGCAAUGAUCUGUUGUCAUAGCAAUUGUAAAUAUAUUUGUGUAAUACAGUAACCUGAUACUUAAUCAGUUAAAAAAAAAUCUAAAAUCUUAAAUAUUUGUGUACGUUCUUAAAAUUCUAUUGUAAUCUAAAACAAAAUGAAGGGAAUAAUUCCUAUUAUUACAAAUCUGAUUGAAAGCGAAAUAUUCACAAAUUAUUGUUUUUAUUGAAAGACAGGUUUAACUGGAUCCAAAAUUUUUUAAAAAAGAAAAGAAAAAGAAAAAGAUGGGGGCGGCCCGGGGGAGGGCCAGUUUAACUAAAUGAUUGAGCAAUUUCCAGUGGGCUCAAGCCCCCACUAAUCACAUACUAGAUCCGCCCCUGAGCAUAACCAUGUGAUCAAAAUCAGAUCAUUGAAUAAGCUUCACAUCUUUGGUUGGGUAAUAUCUCAAUAAACCAUCUCUGAAAAUCUUCCUCGAAAAGCUUAUCAUUAGCUAAAAGCAGCUCAUGACUUGGUCUUAACAGCAUCUUGGCUAAUUCCAAGGGCUGCAUCCAUUAUGACAGAAUUUAGCCAUAAUAUAAUAAUAAUAAUUAAUAUUAAUCAUGCUUUACCUCUUUUGGGUGCAACGGCGCCAAAAAAUAGUAGAAGUUGGUGGGUCAUCUCUUCCAUGAUCAAAUGAGAACUUGAAGUCUGGUACAGUAUCCAUUGAUUUCAAUUUGAAGAACUGUUUCGUGAAUGCACCCAACAAAUGAAACAGACAGCUAGCUAGCUAUUUGCAUGUGAAACACGCAUGAUUAAUGUUUAAGAGAUACAUUAAUAUAAUGUAAUUAAUAUUGAUUACUUCUUGUACUAGAGUUGCCAGGGGAUAUUAAAUUAGGCAUGAACAACUACUAAAAUUUUGUCCGGGAAGCUCUCCAUGGCUAAUGAAACUCCGAGACCACCAUAAAUAACUGUGACCCACUAAAACAUCGCUGGCUCCUCUUGUGGUAGAGAAGCCAUGAUGAACUCCAUCAACGGCAAAGCAAGUACCAUGUACUAGAACAAACUGCGCCUUAUCGUCCUUCUCCUCCAUUUUCUUUAAUUUCUCCGAUUAAGCUCGGUGGGUGACGAGUGUGGGGUGGCAAAUAUAAAAUGAAGCAUAGCAUUGUCGUAUUCUCAUCGACCAAUUGAAAGCUUAAUCCCACAACCACAAGCUCCGAUCCAACAAAGUUUCGAAGGAAUGAUCACACGAUAAUCGGCAAGGUUAUUGUUUCAACACUAGCUAAUAGUAAGACCCACGUCUGCCCCUUGGAUUUAAGGCUUUAAGCAGUGUCUCCAAAAAAAUUUGAAUAAUGCAUGCUUCAUAUUUCAAAUUUUAUUCUAAAAUGUUUGUCUCAAAUAUUGCAUUCUUCAAGUGAAUGAUGAAGUAAAAUUAUCAAUCAAAAUGAAAUUCAUGAAAAAUUUUCGUUAUUUGCUUGACGAAUGACAUAUGACAUGACAUCAUUCACAGUCAAAAUUUUAAAAUGAAAAUUAAUGUCACGACAUUAUUCAUAAAAUUUUCAUGCAUGCGUUAAAGCUUAUGCUCAUAUAUUCCUAGUAAAUGUGAUUUUUUAACAUAUAAAUUGACUAAAUUUAAUUUGUUUGAGAAUUAAAUUUUGUCUAAUAUCAAUUUGUGUGUUAAAAAGUCAUGUAUACCAUCAUUGGAUUUUUUUUUUUGAAUGCUGUAACUCCAAAAAAGAAAUAAUUCUUAAAUAUUUGUAAUUGAACAAAUGAUAAAAGUAAUUUUUAUGAGGGGCGAAAAUGUCACUCUUCUUUUAACGUUGAUAUUCAUUUGUUGACUAUUGCUGUUACAGAGUAUUACUUCAACAAAUCCUACUACCACAAAUUUUUUUUUUUUGGAAUUUCACACACCAUUAAUCUACCCCUGUAUCCUAUUUCAUACACAAAUACAAAUUAAAUGAUUUUUUUAAUUUCCUAAUUUUUUUUCAACCUAUGCAGAUUUUAUAUUUUUUAAAGUACAUAUAGGCAAAUUCUAGUGUUUGGUAAAUAAAUUUUACUAAAUAUUUAACCCUUCUUCUUCACGAAUGAUUAUUUCUACACUAUAACUAAUAUCAGCUAUUUUAAAAAUUAUAUCAUUACAAAAUGGCGACUUUAAUAAUAUGAAAAUAAAGAGGAAGUGAAAAGCAAUUAAGAAGGCAGUGACUCUAUGCGAUAGUGGAAAUUGGCAAUUUUAUUGUUUGUUUAGACUUUAGAUCAUAUAUUAGUCUAUUUCAUUCCAUGUGUUUAUAUUUUUUAUUUUGUCUAAUCGAUUGUCUCGUUUAUAACUCAGAAACUUAAAUUAUAUGUAAUCCCUUUAUUAUUAAUUUAUUAUUGAAGUGAAAUCUCCUCCCAAAUAAAUGAAGAGGGAAAAAAAAAAUCUUAUCACACGAAAGUGAUAAUAAACAAUUGUACAUCAUCCUAUCCAAAAAAGGAAACUUACCACUAAUAAUAGUGAUGCGGCAGCGGGGCGGUUUCUAAUGAAAUUGUCUCACAAUUAUGGAAACUGGAAGCCUGCUGGCAGAUUUAUGUAUAUAUGAAUUGGACCACAAUCUGAAAUCGACUUUGUCACCACUCGAAAUGGAAAUUGUAAUCAUAUUUGAUAACAAUAAUUGAAGGUGACCACCAUAUGUAACACCACAAAUUUCCAUAAUAUUAAAUUAUGGAAAUUGGGCUUUCAUUGAUAAUUAUGGGUGGCCUAUAACCCUUAUUAAGAAAGAGAUACUAAAUUAUAAAUAGAGGUUAUUUAUGAGAUAGUUUUGAAAAAUGGUUAUUUUUCCUUAUUAAAUAGGGUUUCUUAAAAUUCCCUAUAAAUUCAUACUUUUCCUCUUCCAUAACCCUUAGUCCACGACGUUUAUUCUUCUUCUCUGCUGCUCUUUACACUCGUGCCCAAAUCCUAGGAUUCAAACCUUUGUUUAGGAGAGAAUCAAAGUAACGGGUAAGUAAUUCUCCAUAUUCGCAACAUAUUUCUAAUCACUCUAUCUAGGGUUUAUAUUGGCACGAUUUUAGAUGGUUAUAGAUCAUAAUGCAUGAUUUAGAAUGUAUUUAGGCUUUGUUUAGGGUUUUGAUUUAUUAUAAGUUUAGUUAAUCAAUUCUUGACGUACGUAUUAAGCACACAGGAUAAUUCUGGACAGCAUGAGUAUCUCGAAUUUAAACCUAUAUUUUCUGAACGAGUUUGAUAUGUGCAUACACGUGCUAGUAGUGGCAACAAGAUGGAAAGUGAUAGUGGGCCUACUGGCAAGAUGGAAGACUUAGUCUAGUUUGUUUGUUCAGUCAUUAAUUAUUGAGUCGGUUAUUGAAUAAGUCUUGGGUAGUAGAGUGGUGCUAUUUUGUUGCCUAUUCUGCAGCAUUUCCUAUUUUCCAGCUUUGUUGUUAUUUUCUCUUCCAUGUAUGGCUAUAUUUAUAGCUUGAAUGAAUUCAAUAAAGGCAAGUAGCUUUAUCACCAACAGUUCCCACUUUGUCUUAUUCCUUUCUACCCUUAACUCCAAAUUCCUUCGUAUCAUUGGUAUCAGAGACAGGUCCGACCAUGGACACUCGCGGCAAAACAAAUGCAGAAUUCUGCAACGAGGUCAACGAAAUCUUAGCACGACACGAUACCAGUUUUGAUCAGGUGAAUGCAGUCUUACAGGAAGUGUUAACCGAGCUUCAAGCUCUUAGAGCCUCCCAUAACCAAAACACUAGCCCACGUGAUGACUCCUCACACCCACAUACUUCUCGUUCUAACAUUAUCAAUGACCACCCUCAUCAACACCUCAAGUUGUCCUUCCCAAAAUUUAACGGAGACGACCCAACUGGCUGGAUUUACAAGGCCGAACAGUACUUUGAUUUCAAGAACAUUACACCAGCACAACAAGUUCAACUAGCCUCCUUUCAUUUAGAAGGCAUCGCCUUGCAAUGGCACAGAUGGUUGACAAAAUUCCGUGGACCACUCACAUGGGAUGAGUUCACCAAGGCUGUUCAACUUCGAUUUGGUCCAACCGACUACGAAGACCCGUCAGAAGCUCUGACUCGUCUUAAACAAACCACAUCCGUAGCAGCUUAUCAAGAAGCUUUUGAAAAGCUUUCCCACCGAGUUGAUGGCUUGCCCGAGAAUUUUCUCAUCGGUUGUUUUAUUGCAGGACUUCGAGAUGAAAUUCGCAUAGAUGUAAAAAUUAAACAACCGCGAACCUUGGCAGAUACAAUAGGAGUGGCUAGGCUGAUCGAAGAACGCAACCAACUGCAGAGGAAGCCAAACCAGCAAACUCGUUUCCAACCAGCCUCAUUGACACCAAAGGCCUCACCCAACCCCACAGCUGGUGUGCUAGGACCUUCACCAACCCAGCGUAUGAACCAAAGCUCGAAUGCUCACCCAGCAACAUUCCGCCGAAUCACCAAUCAGGAGGCACGCGAACGACGAGAGAAGGGAUUAUGUUAUUACUGUGACGAGAAGUUCAUUGCUGGCCACCGUUGCGAACGACCUCAAUUAUUCAUGAUCGAGGAUUUCCCUCAUAUGAACACUGAGGAUGUUGAAGGCGCUCACCCAGAACAAGAACAUCAUGAAGUUACACCAGAAAUUUCUUUUCAUGCAAUUGCAAGAACUGAACACCCACAAACCAUACGCGUUCUGGGCAAGCUGAAAAACAAGAAUGUGAUGGUGCUAAUAGAUGGUGGUAGUACGCACAACUUCAUUGAUCAUGCUAUAGUCUCUAAGUUUGGGUUACCAGUGAUCCGGGAUAAGAAAUUCGAAGUCAUGGUUGCUAACCGUGAGAAGAUAGAAUGUAUUGGACAAUGUCGCGGUCUCACCCUCACCAUUCAAGGAUAUUCCGUUACCGCCGACUACUACAUUCUUCCGUUCGCGGCAUGCCAAUUGGUCUUAGGUGUAUAAUGGCUUGAAACUCUCGGACCCAUCAAGAUGGACUACAAGCAGCUCACCAUGAACUUCAAAGUAGAAGGGACCUCCCAGACCUUCCAAGGAUUGAGACGAACCAGCAUCGAAGCUUUGUCUGACAAGGAAUCCAAUGGGUUACAAGGCACUGGAUUAUUUUUCCAAAUAAUUCCUUCCACCACCAGCAGCAGCCAACCAAAGUCCUACCCACCUGAGAUAGGCCAACUCCUAGCAAAAUUCUCCCAUGUAUUUGAAUCACCCACCAGCUUGCCUCCAAGGCGGUCACAUGACCACCAGAUCCCAUUGCAGCCGAGCGCAGGACCAGUGAGUGUGCGGCCAUAUCGAUACCCUUAUUACCAGAAAACUGAGAUAGAGAAGAUGGUAAAAGAGCUUUUACAAUCUGGUUUGAUACGGCCAAGUAACAGUCCGUUCUCUUCCCCAGUUUUGUUAGUAAAGAAAGCAGAUGGAGCCUGGCGUUUUUGUGUGGACUAUCGAGCUCUGAACGACAUCACAGUUAAAGAUAAAUAUCCAAUUCCUAUUAUCGAUGAGCUAUUAGAUGAACUCCAUGGGGCCAAAUUCUACUCUAAAUUGGAUUUACGGUCUGGGUAUCAUCAGAUUCGGGUGCAGGAAGAUGACAUUCUUAAAACAGCAUUCCGGACACACGAAGGCCAUUACGAAUUUAUAGUGAUGCCAUUUGGCCUCACUAACGCACCAGCAACCUUUCAAAGUCUCAUGAAUGAUCUCUUUCGUCCCUACCUCCGGAAAUUUAUUUUGGUUUUCUUUGAUGACAUUCUAAUAUAUUCAAGAUCAUGGGAAGACCAUCUCGCACAUCUACAAAUUGUUCUCCAAAUCCUAUCAACUAACAGUUUGUUUGCAAAAGAGUCGAAAUGUCGAUUCGGUGUUUUACAGGUGGAGUACUUGGGCCACGUUAUUUCGGAGCAAGGCGUAUCGGUUGAUCCAGCCAAAAUACAAGCUGUCAUUGAGUGGCCAACACCAACAACAGCAAAAGGGGUCCGUGGGUUCCUCGGUUUAGCAGGCUACUAUCGGAAAUUUAUCUGUCAUUUCGGUAGUAUAGCAGCUCCCCUGACCCGUCUCUUGAGCAAGGAUGGAUUUCAAUGGAAUGAGGUAGCAGAGAUGGCCUUCACACAAUUAAAAGAGGCCUUGACGUCACCACCAAUUUUACGCCUUCCCGAUUUUACUCAACGAUUCGUGAUUGAAUGCGAUGCCAGCGGAAUCGGACUGGGUGCAAUUCUUACCCAAGAAAAUCGACCAGUGGCGUAUUUUAGCCAAGCACUGAAGGGUUCGGCCUUAUCUUUGUCCACCUAUGAGAAAGAAAUGUUAGCUAUUGUCAAAGCAAUCAAGAUAUGGUGUCCAUACUUGCUUGGGAAACCAUUUACAGUCCACACUGACCAAAAAAGUCUCAAGUACCUACUGGAGCAACGGAUUACUACACCAGCACAAACACGAUGGCUGCCAAAACUACUUGGUUAUGAUUAUGAAAUUGAGUAUAAACGUGGCCCUGAAAAUCAAGGUGCAGAUUCUUUGUCACGUGUAGUUGAAUUCCAAAUUUUAUCCAUUUCCAAACCACGUGCAAAUUGGUGGCCAGUGCUUCAAAAGGAAGUCCAACAGGACUCAUUUUAUGAAGAAUUAUUACAAAAAAACCCUUCUCCAGUUGCCCACAAGUUGCUCCAACAUGAUGGAGUAUGGUUCAAGGGAAACCAAGUGUAUUUGAGCCCCAACUCAUCCUUGAUUCCAAAGAUAAUGGCUGACUGCCAUUCGUCACCAAUUGGUGGGCACUUUGGGUUCCAUAAAACCCUCUCUCGUAUCAAACAGAGUUUUUUUUGGUCUAAUAUGCGCCAGAUGGUGAAGGAUUUUUUGCAGCAAUGUGAUAUCUGUCAGCGGUUCAAAACUGAUUGUAUGAAGCCGGCAGGGUUGCUUCAGCCGCUACCUGUCCCUACUCCAAUAUGGACUGAUGUCUCGAUGGACUUUAUUGAGGGGUUACCAUCUUCUAAUGGAUAUACUGCCAUCAUGGUAGUCGUCGACCGCUUGACCAAAUAUGCUCACUUCGUUGCCUUGAAACACCCGUUUACUGCUAUAAUUGUUGCCAAGGCAUUUGUUGCCAACGUGGUUCGCCUGCACGGUAUUCCGACAUCAAUUGUCAGCGAUCGGGACAAGGUGUUUAUCAGCUCCUUUUGGCGAGCAUUGUUCCAGCUGCAGGGAACCAAGUUGUGUAUGAGCUCAAGUUACCAUCCUCAAUCCGACGGCCAAACCGAAGUUGUCAAUCGAACUUUGGAGCAAUAUUUACGCUGUUUUGCAGGUGACCAGCCGCGGAAGUGGCUCGAAUGGAUUCCCUGGGCCGAGUUCAGCUACAACACUUCCACUCACUCCUCCACCAAGAUGACACCCUUCGAAGCUGUUUAUGGAAUUCUGCCGCCACGUCUAUUAGCUUAUGUACCGGGUACUUCCCACGUCCAAGCAGUAAAUGCGUACCUACGUGACCGAGAUGCUAUCCUACGUGAGCUGCGACAUAACCUUCUGCUGGCUCAAGACCGGAUGAAAUGUCAAGCUGACCAACACCGGCGCGAGGCCUCUUUCCUUGUGGGAGAUUAUGUGUAUUUGAAACUCCAACCAUAUAGACAGAUUUCUGUGGCUUUUCGUUCCUCCAUAAAGCUCACCCCACGUUUCUUUGGUCCUUAUAAAGUCACUGCGAAAGUUGGUCCGGUGGCUUAUAAACUGGCUUUGCCUCUUGGUUAUCAAAUUCAUGAUGUGUUUCAUGUCAGUUUGUUAAAGAAGCAUUUGAGACCAGUCACUGCAACGUCCACCCAACUUCCCCCUGUCUCAGAUACUUCGACUGUCCUUCCACAACCUGAAGCCGUUUUAGAUCGACGAGUGAUCCACAAGGGUAAAUAUCGCCCAAAAUCUGAAAUAUUGGUGAAGUGGGUCGGUGUACCAGCAGAAGAUGCCACCUGGGAGAAUGAAUGGCGUUUCACCAAGUCAUAUCCUGAUUUCAUCCUUGUGGACAAGGAUCCUUAAGCGGUGGGGAAUGAUAUGUGCAUACACGUGCUAGUAGUGGCAACAAGAUGGAAAGUGAUAGUGGGCCUACUGGCAAGAUGGAAGACUUAGUCUAGUUUGUUUGUUCAGUCAUUAAUUAUUGAGUCGGUUAUUGAAUAAGUCUUGGGUAGUAGAGUGGUGCUAUUCUGUUGCUAUUCUGUUGCCUAUUCUGCAACAUUUCCUAUUUUCCAGCUUUGUUGUUAUUUUCUCUUCCAUGUAUGGCUAUAUUUAUAGCCUGAAUGAAUUCAAUAAAGGCAAGUAGCUUCAUCACCAACAGUUCCCACUUUGUCUUAUUCCUUUCUACCCUUAACUCCAAAUUCCUUCGUAUCAGAGUUUUCUUAUGAAAUUUAUAUUUCUGGAAACUAGACAUGUAGGGCUUCUUGAUUAAAUUUUAUUUCAUUAAAUUCGACUUCGUUUUCAAUUUUAUAUGUAUUUUCGAAAUAGAAACCACUGCACUGGAAAACUGUGAUUCUAGCAUUGCGAUCGGAUUCACAAGACUAUUUGUACCAUCAAAUGAACUCGGAAAAUUCUGAAAGUUUAUAUGUAGGUUAAUAUAUGUGUCUAAAAUUCCCAGUUUUAAUUUCAUAAUUUUCUGAUUAGUAUUUUAUUUUAUAAAAAUCACGGAACCCGUUCUGUUUGGUUUAGAUUAUGUGAAAACAGUUUCGAAUUUGCUGAGAAGUAAAUAGUUUUUAAAAUGUUUUUGAUAUCGGAUCCUCUUGUAAAUUUUACAUGGGGUACUCAUGGAUGUCCAGAAUAGUUCCAUAGAAUAUUAUAUCAUUAUGAGUUUUAGAUUAAGAGUUAAAAUUCUGAGAAUCAGACUUGUACGGGUAUGAAUUAGAAAAUCAGAUUCUUAGAAUAAGUUAUUAAUUGUCAUAUUUUGUAUUUGUUCAAGGUAUUGAAGGUGAUUGAGGCUCUUAGAAGCUUAGAGGUGUGUUAAUUCAAAUUCAUUUGUCGAGGUAAGUAACUUCAUUCCUAAUGUACUGGAUAUGUAUAAGUAUUUUGAUAUUAUUAUUAUAAGUAUAAAUAUUUUUAUACUACUUAAAGGAUUAAUUGAUUUUGAUAACAAAAUUAGUUUUAUGUAAAUGUUUUCAAACCUAAAUUCUUUUUAACAAAGUAUUUUAUGUUAUAUUAUCGUGAUAUAUCGUUUUAUGAAAUUUAUGGAUUAUGAUACAUGUUUUAAACAAAAGAACGCUUGCAAUAUUUUUGUAUCGAUAGACCUAGUAUGAUAGAAAUGGUUUUACUUACCGAGUUGACGGCUCACCCCUCGUCAUUACUUUUUGCAGAUUAAGUUUCUUUUGAGAGGUGCGCUUUGCUUUGGAGUUAGUAAUUUUUCGUUUCUGUUUGCCAUUUGAAUAAAAGGAGGAAUAGACUUGUGUUUCUAUUUUAUUAUUUCUAUUAUGAACGUGUAAUUUGAAGUUUGAGAUUUUUGUUAUUAUUUUUAUAUCCUCGGGAGAGAUUUUUUAGUAUUAGACGUUUGAAUUUAUGAACAUAUUUACCCUUCGAUUUCGGACUGGGGUGUUACACCAUACGUAAAUGAAAAAUCUUGCCUCACCCAAAAAUGAUAACAAAACAAACGCUGUGUUUUUAGUACCGUCCAUCUCUCUCUCAACGUACUAGCGUUUGGAUAAGUAACAACUAACAAAAAUUAAUUGCAGUUGACCUUUUUACUGGGAUUUUUGAUUAUUACAACUCACUCACUCCUUUUAAUUUCUUUCCCACUUUUUCAUUUAUUUACUCUUUUUCUUUCUAUGUUCGCUUUCACCUUCCUCUUUUUUCAAGCAUAAGCAUUCAGAUUUCAAUUUCAAUACCCUUUUCUUUUCUCUUGUUAUUUGUACCUCCUUAAUCCUUAUCACCUCCUAAGGUUCAUAAAGCUUAGGAGUAUUACUUCAACAAAUCCUAUUACCACAAUAUAUAUAUAUAUAUAUAUAUAUAUAUAUAUAUAUAUAUUUUGGGAAUUUCACACACCAUCAAUCUACCCUUGUAUCCUAUUUCAUACACAAAUACAAAUUAAAUAAUUUUUUUUAAUUUCCUAAUUUUUUUAAUCUAUACAAAUUAUAUAUUUUUUAAAGUACAUACAUGUAAAUUCUAGUUCGUUUAGACUUUAGAUACCUCCUAAGGUUCAUAAAGAGGGAGUGAAAAGCAAUUAAGAAGGCAAUGACUAUGUACAGUAGUAGAAAUUGGCAAUUUUGUUGUUCGUUUAGACUUUAGAUAAUAUAUUAAUCUAUUCAUUUCAUGUGUUUAUAUUUUUCAUUUAAUCCAGUCGAUCGUCUCAUUUAUAAUUCAUCGUUCGUUUUUUAUCUCGGAACCUUAAACUAUAUGUAAUCCCUUUAUUAUUAAUUUAUUAUUGAAGUGAAAUCUCCUCCCAAAAAAAUGACAAGAGGGAAAAAAAAUCUUAAUCACACGAAAGUGAUAGUAAACAAUUGUACAUCAUCCUAUUCCUAUCCAAAAAAGGAAAUUUGCCACUAAUAAUAGUGAUGCGGCAGCGGGGCGGUUUCUGAUGAAAUUGUCUCGCAAUUAUGGAAACUGGAAGCCUGCUGGCAGAUAUACAGAGUCUGUAACGUAGCAAGGUCCAUACGUAUAUAUAUGAAUUGGACCACAAUCUGAAAUCGACUUUGUCGCCACUCCAAAUGAAAAUUGUAAUCAUAUUUGAUAACAAUAAUUGAAGGUGACCACCAUACGUCUCUGUCCCUCUUUCCGUAAUCGUAUUUGAUAACAAUAAAAUUUGGUUCAGUGCUUUGGGUCAUAAAUAAUCAAUAGCAACGAUCGACCGAUCACUACUCACGCACGUGACCCCUGUAUCACCAUUCACCGGGUCGAAUUAGUCCCGUGCUCUGCGUCCUCAUUUAUGUUGCUUGAUUUUCUUAACCUCGCCUUGCCUGCCGACUUGCUGAUUGUUGAAUAAGUUAACGCAUGCGGACUGAACCACGUGUAAAGAACCGUUUGAAAACGCAACCACGCCGACGACGUAUGAUAUCAAGGAAUGCAAUAAAUAAUAGUAAGGAUUGGAUUGGAUUGGAUUUCUUUCUAUUUUGAAUUAGAUUGGCCACCCAGGAAAGAUCUUCUCAUUGAAGUGGAGAUAUUAUUGUAUUAUAUAAUAAUAAAAUUAAUCACAAAUCAUAACAAUAUUAGACUAUUAUUUGUGAGCAAUGUCUUCUAGUAGAAUUUGGCAAAGCUCUUCAGGCUUUGAAAGCAUGACCAUAUGGCCAGCUGCAGAAAUUGACACAACUUGUUUAGGAUGGUAAUCCUCGAUCAUCGCUCGCUGGAAGUCCUCUUUCAUCACUUCAUCUUCUUUGCAGAUGACAUAAACUCGAUCCACCGACCCGAACUUUUCUUUUGUCAACAGAGAUUCUUUGGACAAAUCUUCCACGAAAAACCCCGUUGGUCUGACCAACAUUUUGGUCAGUUCCAAAUCCUGCAUCAUGAAAGUGAAUAACUAAUUAAUUAGGAAAGACACAAAUUCAGUUACCCAUUAAUUAAUGCAUGAGGCCGAGGUCUAAGUGGCGAGAUGUGUGAGUAGUAGUUCGAGUUCCCAUUUUGAAACAUAAAAAAUCAAUUCCUCUCUGAAUUAAAGAAUAAUUAAGUAGAAAUUUUCUUCCCUCUUGCGAAAUGUCAUAUUGACAUUUUUUUAAUAUUAGCGAUUAUUAACGAAAGUAGAAAAUUUGAGCAGUACUUAAAAAAAAAAAAAAACACAUGCGAUGGAAUUUUGUAUGCUUUUAAUGAAGAACUUGUUGGUUUAAAAAAUUCGGUUUUUAAAUUUUUAUAAAACCUUUUGAAGAUCGCUCUCAUAUAAUAUAUAAGAAUUCGUAUUCUAGAAAUCGUACCUUGAAAAUCCGAGUUGGCUUUUUCCGCUGAAGUGAUUUAGGCUCUUAGAUCACGAUCCGCCACCACCACUCUUGUUAGAUCACGAUCCGUCACCACCACGCUUGUUAGAUCACGAUCCGUCACCACCACGCUUGUUAGAUCACGAACCGUCACCACCACGCUUGUUAGAUCAUGAACUGUCACCAAUGAUCUUCCAGGUUAUGACUCAGGUUCGAUCUGCACUUGACGUGUGGGCGCCUUUAUCACUACCAAAGCAACUAGCACGAGAAAAUUUUUCUCUCAACAAUGGAGAGAAAAAUCUUAUUCUCUGAUCUAUAUAAAGUGGCUUUUUUCUUUUUUUUUUCUUUAGAGAAAAUAAGCCUUAUAUAUCUCCCUUUAGUGAAAAUCCUAGGCUCCAAAUAAUGCCCUAAAUAAAACUCACGUUAUUUUCUUUUUCAAUAGGGGACCCACCUUGUAAAAUAACAUAAGGCCCCUUAUACAAAAGCUAAUUAAAUGGAGCCUCCCACUAAAUGAUAUAUUUAGGCUUUUGACCUAAAUAGCUAGUUAUCUUACUUAUUAGUCCAGUAGUGGUGCAGUCAGUUAAAUGAGCUAACCCGGGGAUCAUUUGGGAACAUACAAUAGUGGCUACAAUAAUUAGGCCUGUAAUUAAACUAACCCAAUUAUUUAAUUCUAAAUCUACUCCACUAAAAGAUUGGAACUGACUUCCAUAAUUGUAUGCUCGAAUAAUAAUUCGUCCCAAGCCACAUUGAUUUCUUUACUGCACAAUCCUUUGUACCACAUCGUUAAUUAAAUUGAUAUCUCAACUGUCCAAUCAAUUUAAUAACAUCUUAUUCCUUGAUCCUUACUGGUUUUCUCUAAUGAUCAUUUUCAACAUACUAAAUAUGUUGACACACUCUGGCCAGAGAAUUCUAUGAUCAAGUGCCGAAAACCUAUCAAGAGAUGUGUUGUACAAAUUCUAUAUUGUUAAUCCAUAACUCUAAUACUCAUAAUUGCUCCCACCAAGAUACCGGGUAAUCUUGACCACAAGGAUGUGUCGUGCCCAUUGGUAACUCAAAUGGAAUAACAAUUACAAUCAUGAAAUCAUAAUUAACUCAAGAUUAAGAUUACAGUAAAAUCAAUGCCUAUGAGAUUUAAUAAGUCUGACAGUUAUUACAAAGUUAAUUAAAUCUCACAUGUGAUCCUGUUUAAUGUAGUCGUACUACAUCAAUAAAUUCAUACAUGAUUAAGACAAAUCAUUCAAUGAAUUUAUUAUAGUCUAUACCUAAAUAAAGUGCCCAACUUUAUUUAUCAACUGCGAACUAAAUUUAUUUAAUCAUAAGAUAACUUGUAUUUAUGUCUUUUGUGAAUCCACAUGGUGAUCACAUAAAUACAUAUAAUAUGAUUAAAUGGACUUUAAUACAAAUAUUAAUGCAAUUAAGAUAUUUGAAUAAAAUACCUCAUUUAUUUUAUUAAUCAGAAAAAUUGUUUAUUACAAUUAAAUAAACACAUAUGCUUUUAAAGAGCAUAUUUUCCCAACAGAACUUGAUGGCUUGCCUCUAACUGGCAGCACUUGCAAAGCACGAUCUUCAUGUACUCUGGUCCAAAGAGAGCUGAAGUUGGCGGAUUUUCCAAGCCUUUGUUGAAUGUAAAUUGGCAAUCCAGUAAAGACUCCACUGGGGUCCUGUUAAAAUACUGACAACCACACCAAACACGUAAAUAAUUAAAAUCAAAUAUGCAUUUUUUUAUAGAUAUUAUAUUAACAAAUUAAUUGAUUAUAUAAAAAAUUAGAAAAAUUUCUUUAUUUCUUGUAUGAGAGCUGCUGGUGGAGACUUGUAGUGAGGCAUAUAUGCGGAGAUAAACAUUGCAACCGAUAUUUUCUCAUGAAAAUUUUCCAUGGCAAGAGAAAUACAGAGGCCGCUGUAGCUGUGACCAACCAAAAUCACCUUUUUUUCUUGUGGUAAACAGGCCAUGAACUCCAUCAGCGACUGCAAAUAAUCUGAAAUGGAAGCAAUUUCAUCAUCGAGCCGCUUGCUAUUGACCCCAGAAGAUCCAAGGUCUAUAGCACUCACAUGGUGACCGGCAAGUUUCAGAAGGGUCACGACUUUGUACCAACACCAGGCUCCAAGGCAAGCUCCAUGAACUAACACAAAAUGCUUCCUCUCCUCCAUCGCUACGAAAGUCAACUCUUUCCGUAGCCUACCUUUAACUUUGGGGCUUUCAGCGGAGAUUCUAACUCCAAAAACGAUGGGUAAGUUUUCUUUUCUUUUCGGGUAAUUUUUAGGGACCUCUCUUGAGGUUUGAAGUAUUAACACUUUGAUAGAAUGUAUUAAUACAAUUACACAUACUUCCCUCGCCGUCAAUUACCAGUUAAGUUAACCGUUAGUUGACUGUUAAAAUUACUAAAACACCCUUCCCGCAAAAAUAAUAAAUUAUUAAAUAAAAUGGAUGAGAACCGAUGGAUACAGGCAGCUGAUGAAUUGCCAUAAAAUAUAAUCAAUCUUUUCACCAACUACCACAGCUUAAAAUAAACCAAAAAAGAGAAUGCAAUAGGAGUGGCAAAGAAAAAAAGGAAAAAAAUUGUGGAACCAGCACGAAAUUAUAAAAAAUUCUAAUAGGUGCCGAAAACAUGCCAAAGUAGUUUAAAAUAAAACCACUAUAUCUCUACAACUAGGAGAUGCCAUAUAAGCUAUGAUUUUGUUCGAGUCUCUCUAGUUUCCAACUGCAAAUUAAUCAAUUAUGGACGAUGAUGACGAAAAAGAAUUCAAAACAAGGAUAAGUCAAGAAAAAAUAUUGAGAAAAGAUUUUUUUUUUCUCUCUUUUCAUUCCCUUGCUCAAUGCAGAACAACUUCAUAACAAUGAUAAACCCACUAAUUUUUAAAUCAAAAUUUACAUAAAGGCUAAAGCUUUCUAUCAUUACACUUUAAUUAGCUCAAAAUGAAGAAAAUCAAAACCCACAGUUGUUGAAAUCAACAUGCACAAAAAAAAAUUCAAAAUACAAAGAACCCAUUUUCAGGUUUAAUUAACCCAGGUUCAACAAAAUCAUCUACAUAUUAUCUCUUUCUCACUCCUGUCGCAGAUGAAGUCGUUUGCCGUUGUUACUCGCUUCAUGGAAGACUUGGGCCACCAUCAGAACUCAUCUUGUUCGUAAUUGAAGCUAAACUAUGUUUUAAUCUUGAAAUGGUUUUGGGCAAAUGCAGCCGCUUUUUCACAACCUUAGGAAGGCGAAAAUGGCUGGGUGUUGCUUCGAUGAAAGAGAAAGCUAAGUGCAGGCUUUAUUUUGUGAAGAUUUUUUUUACUUUUGUCCACUGGUCAUUACACACCAGUAGAUAAUAGAGUAAACCAAGCAAGAUUUCGCAGACAUCAAGAACUUAAAGCUUUAAUUUUGAAUUAUUUUGAAUUUUAAAUAAGCUUUUACAUAUUUAUCAUUUUAUACUAACACCAUACGUAUUUUUAUACUAACGACAAGGGAGGUGUGUGUAAUUACAUCAAUACAUUCUAUUAAAGUGUUAAUACUUCAAAUCUCAGGGGAGGUCCCUAAAAUUUAUGCUUUCUUUAAUUUUGAAAGUGAUUUGUCCAAAUAUACAUAUAUAGUAAUUUUUCAAUUAGGAAUCCCGGUCUUCAAUGUACUAUAUUUUAUUGUGUAUUAAAAUUUAAUUUUUUUUUCUUUUAACUAAUUCUUAAUUUUAUUAAAGUUAAAGAAUUCUAAUUGAAAAAUCACUCUAUAUAUAGUAAUUAUAAUAAUAAUAUUUUGGGUUGUCUUUCAUUUUGGGUUAUAUUUCCCCAAAAAAAUAGUAAUAAUAAUAAAUACCAGAUGUAAUCGACAAUCGUUCAGUCUUUUUCUCAUGUCCGAAGUGGCCCCUGUGCAUCCGCGGCUUAUAUUUAUAUCACAAUUUCUCAGUUUUGAUUCAAAUUCAUAAUGAAAUCAGAACGAACACAAUCUCCUUCACCUCAAAUCUUCUAACCCUAAACUUGUUUCCUGCGGACCUCAGAACAUGAGUAUGGAUGACUUCGCCCAAUAAUCAAGCCUCCAGGCUUGAAUCCUAAAGUCCCGAAAAUGAAAUGCCCAUCAGCAUCUGGGCCUCUCUCCCAGGCAUGUGUCUGCCGUUGGCCAGGAAUUCUUUUCCUUUUUAAAUUAGUUUAAAAAGAGGCAGCUUCGUUUGUUGUUUUCUGUCCUCCAAUACGACCCGUCAAUCACCACACUUUCGAUUAUAGUUUAUUUUAAGAAUCCAAGUUGAUUGAUUUAAAUGCCCAAUUAGAAUUACUUCUGCACCUAAACUUACGCAACAAGGGCGGGCCGAAAGAUCAAUCCAACAACUUCAAGACUCUUUUAACACUUCGAAAAUAAAUUAAUAAAUAAAUAAAGCAGCAAAGAUGACUGAAGCAUUUUUAGCCAAUUAAAAUAAAUCUCUGCAGUAGAAGGGUUAUCAUCGGUGAGUCUAUACCACACCAAUUUUUUUUUUUUUAUUUUAAAAAAAGCUCAUCAUUUCCCCCCCUAUCAAACCCAUUUUGGAAAGAAACAAUGUGCAGCACCUUACUGUUGACUCCGGUUUAUUGAAAAAUGUAUCAGAAUAGUAUUUACAGGCAAAUUAAUCACCACAAGCAGAAAGAAAAAAUGAAGAUUAAAGUAUACAAACGGACAACAUUUACACAAAUUGUGCAAUUAAACAUGCUCUUAUCGUUUGCUUCUCAUAUACAAGGUUAACAACUCCAAUACUCCUAUCAGCAGUACUAUUAGCAGAAUUAUACCAUUUUACCUUCAGAGUUUGACAAGUUAUUCAGAUCGCUAAUGCUGAUAUUCAGCUGAGCAUGGUUGGAUGCCCGGUCUGGAGCAUUCUCUUGAUCAUAUCCAUCCCAAAAGCAGAAUCCGAUGAACUGAGAAACAGAAGCACAAUAUUGGUUCACACAUAAAUCAGAGAUGUUUCUUAUUAAACAGAUUUGACGACAGCAACAACUUCUCAUAGAUUGAUAAAACAAAGACAUGUCACCAAGGGCAGUUAUCUUUCUGUGUUGACAAAAAUUCAUUACUCAGACCUCUUUAUCAGUCUCUCUCCCCCCCCCCCCCCCCCCAAAAAAAAAAUAAUAAUAAUGUUGCUAGUGUGCAAACAGAUCUGUUUGGUAAAUGGAUAUAUACAGGACAUGGAGAUGCGCCUUUACUUCCAGAUGAACUAUACUACUACAUUACAUAAUUGGCUUUAAUUAUUAAAAAAAAAUCAAAUAAACUAAUAACAGGUAUGAAAGAAGGGUUGUACAUCAGGUCGGAAGAUUGGGAACUUAGAAAUCAUUGCCCAAGCAAUCAAUUAUACUUCAGAUUUCGUAAUCACAUAAAAAACAGCCACGUUUAUGGUAAAAAGGGACAAUAAUUCAGAACAAACUUAGCAUUGGAGACAUUUUGCAGAAUCGUUAAACAAACCUAGUAAACAAUCAGUCUCACCUCCAUCAGGAUAUUUCUCAAAUGACCUAUCACAAUUUGUGUGUAUUAAAUUUACUUCACAUAAAGAAUUCCAAAUUUCUAGAAGCAUAAGCAACCUACCCUCUGCAGUCAGCCUUCUAAACAAAAAUGCUUCAAGGAGCCCUCAACCAAAAGAAAAAGAAAAUUUACUUGUUUGGUGAUUUCAACAGGUUGGACCUACGAUUAUCAGAGUCCAAACGAAAAGCCAAUGUCCACACCAUUUUAUUUGCUCCAAGGUAGUUGGGUAUACUAAUGCAAGGGUAAGGAAUCAAUAUUUGGUGAUGGAAAACAUUGCACCAGCUAACAACCCAUAUCAGAUCUUACUUUGGUCCAUAAAGAAUCAGAGGAGCUGAACCAACAAUGCAGGACAAAUGUCACAGUAUGAUUCAUGUUAGACCUUAUGCCAUGUAGAAAUUUUCUCAACUCAACCUCAUGUAAACUAUAGUCUUGGACAUUAUACUGCUCCUAAAGAAAUUUUUCUGUUGAACAAUAACAUUCUCUGUGCUAAUAUCCUUCCACAAUGAUGGUGACCGUAAAUGAAAAAGAUAACCCUUGAAUACUACCGACCCUCUUCAGUAGGCAUAAAUCUAUCCAAAAUAAAUUAUAUUGCCCAGAUCACCCAUGAAACAACAAUCGAUAAACACAGAAAGUGGCUUCAGUCACACAAAUUAUAGUAAUAUUAAGUUCGUUCUUGGAUGAAACAGCCACCAAGUGGGAAAAACAGUGAACAUAACUACAACUUUCAUCCAAGAUUGUGUGUAUUCUUUCUCCCUCCCUAUCCGGUUCUUUUUCUUGCUUGAACAAUUUCAAAGACAAUUCUUCUACUGCAUUUGAAGGAAAAAUAAGGGUUCUAGAAAUACCUUUCUUCUCGAAAUAAGCAGCAGAGCAAUCAAGUAUUGGAUCACAUUAAUGGUCGGAAAGAAAUCACAAGCGGAAAUCCUUCUUUGCUCACAGUAUAAAUGUCCUUUUUUAUGGAUUGUUCAAUGGUCUUAAUUUUAAUCUUCACGAAGAAGAGAAGAAGAUGAUUUUUAACAAUUUUUAUGUAUCUCUACUCUUAUUCUUAUCAUUAGAGAGAUUUUAGCCAGUGGAGGAAGUUUAUUUAAAAUUAACUUCCCUCUCAAUCUUCAUAACCGUACAUGGUAGUUACCAUGUGUGGGUCGGGUCAGGUCGGCCCAUCAUGGGCGACCCACCCAUCCAACAGCAUUAAAAGAAAAAAGUCAAAAACAUGUAUGUAAAUUUUAUUACAAAAUCAUAGCAACAAGAGAAGUAAACAUUAUUAAAGUUCAGCAAACACGCAACAAAAAUUUUCAAGAAAAUGUACUGAAGCUUUAUUGGCAUCAUUUUGCUAAAACAGUCACAUAAAAUUCAUCCAAACCUAAGCCACUGUAUAACUUCGAUCACAAGGGAUAAAGAAAUCCUUUGAAGCAAGAAGGCUAAGACAAUCAAGAGGUGGGGAAAAAUCACUCACUUUCCACAUAUAAGCAUGAGCGAUAAUAACAAAACUACCACAUGAAAAGUAAAAUAGGCCUUCACAUUAAUGAAGAAAAAGCUAUUAAAGGAGAGCUGACCUUGGGAUGGUUAUUUCACAAGGAAAAUAGAUGACACCCUCAGAAAUGGAAGGAACAUGGUCUUUUUUCUCAUUAACAAAUUUUAUUAUUUGAAAUAAAACAUCACGAAGAGAAGCUUCAAGUGCUGCCCGGCGAACGCUUCUCUCCUCAGAUGCGCUCUCUGUAUUCAAGGAUAUAAUGAGGGAAAAUAAGAAGCAUAUACCUUCAAAUAAGUGAGACAUCAAAUAUUCUUUAAGUUAAAUCCAUAGUUUCAGUACCUCCAGGGUCGAAUACAACUUUGGAAUGAUGAGACUUGUUGGAAUGAGCUUUCGGGAGUUGGGCCACAUUCAAAUUCACAUACCACUGCUCCCAGUAUAGGCGUUCAAUUUUGUUAGUGAACCAUGAUGGCUGUUUGUUUUUUACUUCAUAGAAAGAUAAACAUAUCUGCAUAAUUAUUUCAGAAGUUAGUAAACAAACAGAUAUGGCGGAGCAUAAACCUCAACUUAGAAGUAAUCUAAGACAAAAAGCCCUGCAUGAAUAAUUUUUCAAGUCAAGAAAAAUAUGCUAGACUUAAAAUGCCAACAUAAAUAAAUUUAUUUUAUUAAGUUUUUUCAAUCAUUAUUUAAAUUUAUUUAAUUUAAAAUUAUCUAUAAUGUUGAAUUGAAAAAAAAUGAAAGUAUAAAUAGUAAUUAUGUGAUUACAUUAAAUAAGUUAAAAAGUUGAAGGGGUAUUUUUGGAAGUUUUGGUUUCCAACAUAAGGGGAAUUUGAAUUCUUCGCUUCUUGGUGUGGAAUUCAAAUUCCACAUUAUAAUGGAUAUUAAUUUCUAAUAGACGUUAAAUUAUUACACAUUAUGUCAAACCAAACAACGAAAAUAAAAAAAAAAGAUUUUAUUGUCAUGUUGUUUCUUUAUUAAGGACACUGUAGUUACUUAUUUUGUUUAGAUAUUUUUCAGUUUAAUGGGAUUCAGGAACUUUGCUCUAUGGCAAGAUGACCGUGACAAUUCAAAGAAGGGAGGACCACUUAGGUGAUGUUUGGUUUGAAGAAAUGUGAGAAGAUGAGAGGAGAGGAAAGUGGAGGAAAAGAGAGAAUAGGAGAGGAGAGGAGAGGAGAGGAGAGUACAAAACUUUUCUAAUAUUUGGUUUGUUACAUAAUUAUAUAAAGAAAGGAAAUCUCUAAUUUUUUAUUUAGAUAAUUUUAAUCUUAAUAAGCGUUAAGCUUUCAAUAUUUAUCAUGAAUAUAAUUAAAAAAAAUUAAACAGCAAAUGUUAGAGAGAGAGUUGGGUCACAUGAGAGAAACAAGUCAACCCGAACCUGAGAGCCCGACCUGAAAGCCGUUUUUUAUUCCUGCCACAUCACCGGUAAUGGAAGGUACUGAUCAGAACUUCAAGAGCCAACCAUCAUUCCCCAUCCAUCACUGCCGCCGAAUAUUGCCGGAAAGCCUCCAAUUGAAGCGUGAAAAGCUGCGGAUAUCGCUGCCUCAAAUUGUCGAAUUUUCACCUUUUUCUUGUCACGUCGUCGCCGUGGUUUUGUCUAUCAAGGCUGCCACUUCCAUUUCCGACCAUCCAUAGCCACUAGCAACCGCCAAAUCGUCGCCAAUCAAUCAGAUUUGAACAAUAUACAACCAUUUUUUGAUCUCGACGAUGACAUAGUAAUGUUGAUCGUUGAUCGGCAAGUCGAAUGACAGUCGCAAUGAGUAACACACACCAGUGACACCGGCGUCAGUCCUACCAUUCAGUGACUGUCAAUUUAAUAUUUAAUAUUUAAUAUUUAAUAUUUUUCUAUUAAAUAAAUAAAUAAAUUUAUUUUAUUAAACUUUUUAAAUCAUUAUUUAAAUUUAAUUAAUUUAAAAUUAUCUAUAAUGUUGAAUUGAAAAAAAUGAAAGUAUAAAUAAUAAUUAUGUGAUUACAUUAAAUAAGUUAAAAAGUUGAAGGGGUAUUUUUGGAAGCUUUAGUUUCCGACAUAAGGGGAAUUUGAAUUCUUCACAUCUUGGUGUGAAAUUUAAAAUCCACAUUAUAAUUUAUAUUAAUUUCUAAUAGAUGUUAAAUUAUUACAAGUUAUGUCGAAUCAAACAAUGGAAUUAAAAAAAGGAAUUCAAAUUAUUUUUCUCUCCUCCAUUCCCUCCUUUUAACCAAACACAACCUUAAAGGAAUUUCAGCCAGUCCAGUAUUUCUCAAGAAUAAGAAGAAAUGGUAAAAAUGAGAUCCUUUCAAUCUAUUAAAGAUGCAUUUGUUUAAUUGGUAAAAAUGAAUGGAAAUAUUUAUCAGAACAGCUGAGACAGAUGUUCUGAAAGAGCUCUCCAGUUCGUCAAAACCCUUGGGCCAAAUUUGUGUUGAUAUUUCAAUGUUAUUGAUUUAUCAUAUAAAUCUUUUGAACAGUUGAUGAAGGUAAGGAUAUUUGCCCACUUUUUUAAUGUGCAGUUAAUAUUCAUGUUUUCUGAUCUGCUCAUUGUGGAAAUUUUUCUGGUGUCCUUGUAAAGGAGUCAAACGAAAGAGAUCUCUGAACUCAUUUCUUUGACUUCAUCUUUUGCAUCCGAAUUUUGUUCUUCUGCUUGUGCAGCAUGAGAAUGAGUUUGUUGAGGUUGUUUAGGGCUGGAUGCAUUAAAGUGUGUCUUUAUGAGGAUUGCACGCGCCUUAUUUUGGCUAUAGGAGUAUUUUGUCUAUUUCCUUAUGAGGAUCAGGGGAACGGGUACCUCGCAAGGGCAGAGCUGUCCUUACUGUUUUCCCCCGUUGAAUAAUCUGAGAAAGAUUUUUCUUCUAGUCAUCUAUUGGCCAUUUUUUCCUUGCCACUUUCAUUACAACCAACGAGAAGUUUAUGUUCAAUGUGUGUGAUAUGACAUCUUUGGCCAUUUUUUACUCGUGUCUUUGACUUUACCUAACAAGUAACAUGACUUUUGCAUAGCAAUGGGAGUACUUCAAGCUACAGGGCAUUAAACUACUUUGUGGGGCCAAAGGAAGUUUUCCAAAAGUGGAAAAAUAAGAGUUAAACCGCAGGGAAUUGGGCACAAUUUUUUAUUUUGACUGUAUUGGAAUUGUUUUAAGCUGAACCUUGUAAAAUUUUUAAUAAUGAAUGAGGGGUUUCAUUUUUAAGAAAAGCAUAACUAUGCAGAAAUAUGAUCAACUGAUUUUUAAAUAUCUGAGUUAAGUGAGGAGGCAUGCGCCCUCACCAAGAACACUACUGUGUGGCUCUGUUGGUGAAAAUGAGGGUGUCGUAUCGGUUUUAGAUUUUAUAAUCUAUACUAGACAAUAGAACCGCGUUUCACGCGGCUUUGAAAAAAAUUUAGUAUUAUUUUUUUUUUUUUACUUUACACUUAAUAAAACUGAUAAAAAAUAUGAAUUGACUUUUUUCUUAAGAUGAGACAGCCUUAUAAAAAACAAAAAAAAACUAUUAGCCAGCAAUACAAAUAAAGAAGCAACGCAAGAUAAAGAAUAAAAUGAGAGAAUAUAUUAUAGAGUGAUUUUAUUCAUUCCAAUUGUGUGUGUACAAAACAAAAAGAUGAACUCUCCUUUUAUAGUUACAUAAUCACUCCAUGAAAUUAAUGAAAAAUUAUGAAUCAUAAUUCCUUAUGAGAUAGUGGGAGUUAUAGGGAAGUUAAAAGUUGUUAAUGGGAGAUAGUGGGGAGACUAAGAGAUAUGUGUUAUGAACAUCUACAUUUAUUUUAAUAAAUUCAUAAUGUUUAUUACAAAAAAUAUGCAUCAUUAAAAUCUUUAUAUAAUUGUUAUUAUGUAACAACAAUCAAAUUAAUUAUGAGAAAUUAUGAGAAGAUGAAAAGCCAAAUCUAAAAGAAAAUUUCUUUAUUUAUUAGAUCAUAGAGAAUAUACAAAAAUGAGAAAUGGACCUCCUCAAGACUCAGCUUUAUAUAUAUAUAUAUAUAGAUAUAUAGAUAUAGAUAGAUGGGUCAGAGAGACAGAUUGUAGUAUCUUUUGGUGGUUAAUUGCGGACAAUUCGAUUACGCAAAGCCAUUUAUUAAACUCGGUUCUUUCCCUACGCUUCUAGGGUGGAAUCUUGACAUGACUUGAUGUCCUUGCACUUGGUUAUGUUAUUUUUCCCCCCUCCUUUGAUAAGCUAUGUUAUGUUAAUCAAACAAACCUAUUCAAUAGUCUUUUAAGUAUUAUUAAUGACGCGAAUGACCCAGAUUGAAUGACUCUAGUAUCUAAUGCAAUAACGCUUUAUUAACUAUCGAAAUUUUCCUUUAUUGCUUAAUUUUUCCAAAAUUUUUACCCUUCUUUCUCAACCCUUUUAUUUAUUUUUAUCAAACUCCAUUGUCGCAGAGAAAAAAAAAAACAAAAAGAUUCCAAAUCUAUUUUUAUCCAUCUCUAAUAUUUAAUUAUAUCACAACGAAUACAUCUUAGUCGCUUCGCUUUCAAAAUUCUGAAUGGCCGGAAAAUAUUAUUCAAAAGAUUUCAGAAGAUGUAUCAUAUUAUGGUGGAAACAAGUUUUUUUUGAAGGACAAGAUCAAUUAAGUUAAAGAAUUUGCAAGUUUUAAUCUUGUAUUUAAACUCUGUUGUUUUCAAUAUUAGGUUGCAGCAUAAUAGUUACAACUUACAAGCAUACUCUUAAUCUGUAUCAGUUAUGUUUUUUUAUGGUCCAUAUGCUUUAAGGGCUGCAUGAAUAACUACAAAUAUGUGAGUUUUGUAAUAAAAAAGCGUGCAGUCAGAUGAUUUGACUUUUGUGGAGGAGCAGUAGGCAGGCUUAUCUUGAACUUGGAACACUCAUAUCACUGAAGUUAUAUCAUGUCUACUGUCCAGCGAAAAAUACACGAUUAAUUCCCGAGUGUAUCACGUCCGAGUGAAUGCAUAAAGACAACAAUAAUAAGCACUUGAUUUAUUUAUGCGGCACAAUAAUACAAGAAGUAGCAGAAUAAUGUGAUUUGAGCCUUGCCGUCACGACUUGGACAUAUCACACCCACGAACAACAUUAAUUUAACCGCAAGAGGCAAAGAGAAAACGGAGAAAGCACUUGAUUUAUUUAUUUGUAUGAAAAGCUUCUGACAAGAUUAAUUUUAUGCAUACUUAAGAGAAAUCUGAGACAGACAAUCGCAAAGUUUCUGUGGCUCGGAAAGCAUUGCCAUGUGAUCACCGCCCUUGAUCUCCAUCACCUCAUUAACGGGAUAGUUUUGGAUCAUCCAGUGCUGAAAUUGCUUAGGGAGACCAAUAUCCUCUUCGCAUACAAGAUAAACUCGCUUAACAGAUCCGUAUCCUUCAUUGCUGAACUUACUUUCCUUCGAUAAGUUGUCUAUAAACAUUGAUCCUGGCCUCACCAACAUCUUGGCCAGCUCCAGAUCCUUUCAAUUAACAUAAUACAUAAACAAAUUGAAUGAAUAGGGUGAUAUGGUAUAAAAAAAAUGUUCUACGGCGACAAUUAAUUAAUUCUGACAUGUGAGUAGUAAUAAUAAUAAUAAUGAUAAAGUUUAACAUGAUUUGCAUGGUGUCGCUGUCGAGAUAUGGGUAGGAUACAAUUUGACAAAGCACAAUUGCACGUCCGAUGAAUGUGAUGCGCAGUAAAUUAAUUACCUCAGGAGGACAAAGCUGAUAGAUCUUGAUAGUCAAGAACUCGCGGCCGAAAAGCAUGGAAAUGUGAGAUGGAUUUGACUCGUCACAUUGUGAAAAUUGAGUGUCCAACCAGCUGCCGUCCUCUUUUCCCAUCUUCUCAGAAUACUACUUUUCAACAUGCACAUAAAAUCCAACAAAUUAGAACAAAAUACAGUAAUCGCAAUUAAUUGACUGGUUAAUUAAAGAGUUACAGAUCAGUAUCAACUUUAAACACGCAUGCAUCUCAAAUAAAUGUGAUGAUCAGAUUCAGAUGAGACGAGAGAGA
rnacentral:lncRNA from 1 species